rnacentral:lncRNA from 1 species
UUAAAUAAAUGUAAAUGUGCGGUAAAUUAAAUUCAUAAAUUAAAUUGCUUGCUGUAUGGACGUUAAUCCCGCACCAUACCUUAAAUAAAAUUAAAUGUGCGGUAAAGUAAACGUGCUUGUAUGGGCACUAAUUCUGCUCCAUACAUUUAAAUAAAAGCAAAGGCGUGGACGAUAAACCCGCACCAUCCUUUUAAAUAAAUACUGUUGUAUGGGUAAUAAACCUACACCAUACAGUAAAUAAAAUAAAUGUGCGGUAAAGUAAAUUUGCAGUAAAUUAAACGUGCUUGUAUGGGCACUAAUUCUGCUCCAUACAUUUAAAUAAAAUUAAAGGCGUGGGCGAUAAACCCGCACCACCCUUUUAAAUAAAUACUGUUGUAUGGGUAAUAAUCCUACACCAUACAAUAAAUAAAAGUAAAUGUGCGGUAAAGUAAAUUCAUAAAGUAAAUUGUCAGGAUUAGUAACGGUUUCCCACUGAUAAUAUGUUUAGUAUUACCGAGGGUCCAUUUUUGUUAAUGGUUAGUAAAAGAAAAGCAGAUAAAUAUAAUAGGAAAUAAUAGGGAAGAUCAGAGAGCAGAGAUCUUAUCGCUAUUUAUUUAUUUAUUAUUAUUAUUAUUAUUAUUAUUUUUUUCUGUCGAUGGGUUUAGCAGUGCUGAAGCAUCUUUUUAUUUUAUGUUACUUUCUUUUGCUUUCAUCAUUUCGAGCUCUUACCCUCACCACCAUCACCAUAAGGAUGAUCUACUGGAUUCAUUGCUGGAACUGCUUUUUUUUUUUUUUUUAAUAAUAAAAAAGCAGGACCUUCAACGCAUCACAAUUCUCCUCCAGACCUUGCUUCCCUCUUGCCUCUGGUCUGCAGCAUAGUCAUAAGCAGCUCGGGGGUACAAGCGGUGGUGUGGGGUUGGACCCUGGCUCGAUGACAUGGACAAAAAAACGACGAGCCAUCGGGUGUGGAUGGAUGGCUGGGACUCGUGGUUAGCCUGCUGCUGUCACUCCAAGUUCACCCCAAACAGCCUCAGUAUCCGAUUCAGGAGACCCCGAAUUCAACGCAGUAGGGGAUGAGGAAGUCAUCGGCUUCCGAUGGGAGGUAGAGGUUGUCCAAGUCGUCGAAGGUGAGCUCGAAGUCGCAAUUGUCAUCGGAACCGAACCCAAAUCCGAGAUCGGACAUGAGCGUAUCGGACGGCACGGUGGCCAUCCCGUCGUCCGAUGAGAAAAACUGUGGGUCGAGAGGAGGGAUCGCCAAGCCGUCCAACUCCGCAUUGAAUUUGAAAUCGCCAUGAUCCAGAUUAGCGAGUUAUGGUCAGCGUCUGGAGCCGAGGGCCCGACCCGCGAUCUUGCCUUCUUUGAUCAUCUGGAGAAUUACGCUGGAGGUCCCUUCAAGCUCCGGCGAAUCGGUCGGAGCUCCUCGUUGAAGAUACUGUCGAUCAGGACCAUGCCUCUUCCUCCAACUCUUCGCCUGAAGUCAAUUCCAACAGAGACAGGGAAGAGAAAGAGGUAAUUCUGUUUUGUCCAAUGCCAUUUCUGAUGCGGAUGAUGAGAGCUUAUUGUUGUUGCUGUUGUGAUGAUCUGAUCUGGGUCUUCUUUACUUGUUAUUCAGAUCCUAGUUUUCAAUUUCUUUUGGCUUCUGCUACUUUACUGUUGGAAAAGCCAGUAAUAGAAAACUGCCUAUUUGGUUCUUGGGUUUUGGAUAGUAUCUUGAUUGGUCUAAACAGAUUGCGAGAAAUGGGUUUUUCCAAUAAGAUGCAGAAAAUGGAUAUUUGCUUUCAGAUAACAGAGAGAUCAGGAAGAAAACGAUGGAAGCUUUGAAGAAUUUCCCAGCUGGUAUUUUAGAGAAAUUCGUGCUGAUAACGUGUUAUAAAAUAGAGAGAAUUGAGGAGGAAAUUGAGAGAGAGAGAAAGGAAUAGAAAACUGAAUUCAUGUUGAAUUCUUUGUCUGCAUUUCACAUUCAUAUCAGAUUGCGUAUUCAGGGGUGUUUUCUAUCUAAGGGAAGUCCAAAUAUAUAGACAUUUGGGGAGGGGCAUUUUGGGGACUCCAGACUCUUCUUUUACAACAUUAUAGAGCAUAAUCCUACUUAGUCAAUUAUAAAGCAUAGUCUAAGUCUCUUAACAACAAAGUCAUUGUUUGUGUAUAAUCUGGAUCACAAAAGCAGCUUUGAAAACAAUAUAUGAAAUGGUUGCAGCAAAUUUGAAAGGGUCCAAAAUCUGCCUGGAGCCUACUUCCUCACAAAUAGGCAACCAGUAAGAGAUCCACCCCAUUACAAUGUGCAAAUAUCUGAUGCUUUCCCUUUAUCAAUAUACGCAAAUAGCUGCUCGAUUCCCUUUGCACCAUCUACAAUCCAAAAAACAAAAACAAUAACAAUAACAUUAAAAGUAUAAACAAUCAUUGGAAAAUUCUUGAUCUUCUAGCAUUUUGAGAAGAAAAAUCUUCAAUAAAAUCUUCAAAGUCAAGCUUUUCCAACAUAUUCUUUUCAAUGCAUAAGAUUGCCAAUCCAUUCAACCUUUCUUGUGACAUAGUAGAAUGCAAGUAGGAUUUUAUUAAUUUUAAUUUUGAAAAACUUCUUUCUACAGACGCCACAGUUAAUAUAAUUCUAUAAGCAAAUGAGACAUUUGGAAAGCAAUUUACAAAUUUUACAUAAUCAAGAAUUUGAAUGGUUGUCUUUGCCUCUAGUGGUAAAUACAAUCGUAAAACUUCCAAUUUAGAACACAAAUCAUCAGCAUUAAUAUCAGAUUCAUUACCAUGUGUUAAAGCAUCUUCAAGAUUAACACAACAUUCAUGCAAUAUAUGAUACUUCAUUGCAAAUAACUUUUUAGGAUUCAAUAAAAAACCAAAAAUACCUUCAAGUAUUUCUACUUGUUCAAAUCUACUCCUCAAAGAAGAAAUAGCAGCAUCAACCACAACAAGAAAAUAAUUAACCCUAAAAUAUUCUUGAGCAGAUUGAAAAGUCUAUUCAUGAUCAUUUUCAUCAAAUUGUUUUGUCCUACGAAUUUGACCUUUGUUUUAGGAAAUACAGGGUUAAUUUCCAUCUUAGAUGCAAUAUUUUUUGCAAAAAGUAAGACAGAUGUGAACCCAUUUUGCCUAUAGUCUUCAAAAUAAGAAACAAGCCCCUUCAAAUUUUUUAUUGCAGCAUCAAGUUACAUAUCUCUAGUCCAUAUUGCAAUUUUUGGCUAACCAAGUCAAUUUUUUUCAAAAUGUUAUGCCAUAUAGUCAUGCUCAACAAAAAUUCAAAACUUUCAAGUUCAUGUGUUACUAAAGAUUCAGCUUCACUUUUUGUUUUGGUAUCUUCACUAACUCUAGACAAUUCAAACAAAGCUUCUCUUAUAUCAUCAGUUUGGGUUAUUAUGAGUCUAACACUAUUAAUAUGACUUUCCCAUCUUGUUGUUGACAAUAGUUUAAGAGUUAAUCCGUAGAUAUCAUCUUGAAAAAAUUUCCAUCUCUUUGUAGAACUAGCAAAUAGAGUAUACAUGCCUUGCACAACUCCAAAAAAUGGCACAGCUUUAACACUUGAGUUUGCCAUAUCACAAAGUAUUAAAUUAAGAGAAUGACAAGCACAUGACAUAUAAAAUGCCCUAGGAUUUAUUUCAAGAAGCCUCUUGUGCACACCAUUGUUUUCCCCUUCAUGUUAGAUCCAUUAUCAUAACAUUGGCCCGUUACAUUAUUAAUAUCAAGUAUAAGAGAUUGUAAUAUAGAUUGUAACUUACUAAAGAGCCCAAAUCUAGAUGAUUCACUUUCAAGAACUCUAAAAAAUACUCUUCUACCUUUAUUGGAACAUUUGACACAUCUCCACAUUGAAUUAUUAAAGUCAUUUGCUCAUGAUGACUUGCAUCUGGAGUACAAUCAAGUAUCACAGAAAAAUAUUUUGCCUUUUUGAUUUUUUCAAUUAUAACACUUCUAACUUUAGAGCCUAGCAUACCAAUUGUUCACCCGUUUUCGUGUUUACUCCUGAGGUGGAAGGGCGAAGUUCCCCACUGGCUUGGAGACCACUUGUUGGUCGACAAGUCAGCUUUUUUUGGUGUGUGAGCAUGCCACUGCUAGCAAUGUCAAUUCUAGCAGACUUCUUUUUAGAGUGGAUAACUUGCGCCCCAAGUUACUGACUUCUAAAACAAAUGAUUGUGAAUUUGGGUGAGGAAUAUCUCCCAAGUAAGUUCUUUUCUUGCCUCAGACUGGUGAGGACUUUCAUAGUUUAUCUCAGUAUCGAAUGGUUGUCCUGGCCAGAAUAGAUAAUAAUAAAGUGGACUGUUUCAGGCAGAACUGCCUUUUACAAAAUUAAGAAGGGAGGAAUCAACUCUAGAAAGACAAAAAGAUGGCUGGAAUCCCAUUUCUACCUGGGUAGAAACUUCUGAUCCGGGCUGGACUAGGUAUAUCUGUGCUGGACUGUGCUGUCAACAACUUUAGCUGCUUAGCUUCAGCUGUAAAUCGAUACCAAAGUUUAAUUUUGGCAGAGCUUCAAUCUACUUCAAGCCUUGGGAGACUUUUGAGCGGGCAGAACUGCAGCUUCUUCAGUUUGAAGGGACAGAAGUGGUUGUUCUCGAGGAUUUAGCAAGCUGGAACUAUGCUGUAAAAUUUGUUGAGGUUUUCAUAUUUGUGAAAACUCAAACUAUGUUUGUCUUAGCUUUUGCUAAACCGAAUUUGUAACGAGAGGGAUCUCGCUUUCAGAAGACUUAUUUUCUAAGUCUGAACUUUGGAAUUCUGAUCUAAAGCUGUUUUUCUCUUGGGAUCCAAGUGAGCUUUUGAUUGUUUUCUUGUUUGUUUUUUUUGAUUGAUUGAUGAAUUGACUGUCCUUUGUUUCCUUGCCUACUUUCGUUUUUAUAAGAGACCCUCCUGGGGAGGUGAUUUUUAAUCCUAAAUAAUGUGCGGCAAAAAGAUCUCUUAUAAUGUAAAGUAAGAAGGGUUUCUCAUCAAUCAAGGCAAAUAGGUUCUGAGCAGUCACCUCCUAAAGCAGUCCCUUCCCUGGUUUCCUGGGUGGCAGCUUUCUAAUUCAACCAACGCCACCGUCUGUGUGGGCUUUUUAUGGCGGUUUUGGUUCUUUUUGUAUCUUCUGAACAGUUCCCUGUUUUCCGUUCUAAUUUAGAAAGCGUGAUCCGUGAAUUCCUUGGGAGAUGGUGCAUUGAUUUGGAGCAAAAUCUCGAACAUAGAUGGAUUUUUGAUCUUCAAUUGGCAGUGUUUCAGAGACGUCCCUCUCAUAUUUUAAACUUUAGUUGGAAUUGCUGACUUUUCAAAGUUGAGGCAAUCACGUGGGUGUGUCUUUGGUCCCUUGGGUUUGAACUUAACAAAAAUUACGGGCUGAUCUUUGAAGCCCAUUUGGAAGUUUCCAUGUUUGGGCUUUCUUUGGGCUGAGGCUUUGUUUUGAAUAUCUUUGGUGUGAAGCCCAAUCUGUCUGGAUCUCAUUUUUAUUUUUCUCAAGUCUUUGGGCUGGGCAGGAAACUUUAUCAUGGGCCAGUCUUUUGGUCUUUUGGCGUGCUGAAUUUGGGCCCAAACACCAAUCAACUCAUUUUGAAUUUUAUGGCUAAGAUAGUGAUAAUAAAUCUCAUUAUUUUGAAUACAUCUAAAUGCUCUUUCAUUACCAAAUCAACUUCUGCAAUCAAUAAAAGCAACCCCAAAAAGUUACCAUUAUUAUCUUGGUAAAUUUUCUCAUUCUGUCCACAAAAAGCUAAACUUCUUUUAGCAAGACAUCUCACAACAGAAAUUAUUCUUACUAAAACUAGUUUUCAAUAUUCUUUUCUCUUUUUUAAUUUGCAUUUUUAUCUCUUUAUCAAUUGUUUCAUUCUUUUUCAAUCUAAUUUGUAAAUCAAUCCAUGUUCUCAUGUUAGUGAUAUGCUCAAUAUUGUUCUCAUGUUUUUUAAGUCUCUCACUUAAAUGUUUCCAAUCAUUAAGCCCUUAUUUGCUAACAAACUUUUAUUCUGCAAGAUUUAAACAACUUAUAGCACUCUUUUGAGUACACUAGCCAUUUUCUAUCUUGUUUCUCUCCAUUUGGUAACUUUCUUGUAUAAAAAGAAUAUGAAAAAUGCCUAGAAAGCCCACCCAUAGGAAACUUGAGAUUACUUUAUCUUAUAAGACCCUUCUCUACUAAAAGAUCCUUUGUUUUGUUAUCAAUGUUAUCUCAAUUUCUUGGAUCAUAGAUAUUCAAAGCAUGACUUAUUUGUUUUGUUCCAUUUUUAUUCUCAAAUUGAUCACCAACCUCAUUCAAUUCAUUUGUAUCAUUUUCUCUCAUUUUUUCCUCAUUAUUUUCGUUCUUAAAUUGAUCACCAACCUCAUUCAAUUCAUUUGUAUAAUUUUCUCUUAUUUUUUCCUCAUUUUUUUCAUUCUUAAAUUGAUCACCAACCUCAUUCAAUUCAUUUGGUGAAGAAGAUGAAGACAAGAGGAGGGAGGAGUUAGCCUAGGGUUUAUCUAAACUUAUUCUAUUUUUCAUUGUCAUUUCAAUUAUGAUUAUGAGGAACUAAUUUUCUUAGCUAGGGCUAGCCUAAUUAUGAAUACUCAAUUUCUUGGUUAAUAUUAAUUUCACGUUUUUCCCUUUUUAUUGAGUAUCUUUUGAUGUGCUUAAUGUUUAAUUUGGUUUGGAUGCCUGAUCAUCAUCUAAGUUGAAUUAGUGUGAUGCAAGUUAGAGCAGAUGCCAUACACUUAUCAAGAGCUCCUUUUUUAGUUUGAAUUAUUUUUUCUACUUUUCUCAUUUGAUUUUUUUUUUGCACUUCUUGAUUCAUGUUUCAUAACCAUUUUUCUAGUGCAACUCUUAAGUCUAGAAAGUGAAAAACAGACAACCAAUGAACAAAACAAACACACCAAACACAACCAACAAAACAAACACAACCAACACAGUAAACACAACCAAUGAACUAAAGUGCUACCAAGAAAAAAAUAAAUAAAUUUAAGUAGCAAACAAAGAGGAAUUAAACCUGGUUAAAGUUUAUAUAAAAAAGCCUCAAUCUUGUACAGCUUUAUUCAGGCUAGUUGCGUUGAAACUAAAAUUUGAGAAACUCCACUUCAUACCUCCACUUGAUUUAUGUGCACUUGCAAUGAUAAGAUACAUGUAAUUCAAUCAAGAAUUCGUAAAUUUGAUUACCACUCUGUAUCUCUCUGUGUUUUGUUCCUAUUGGAAAUUGAAAAAAUAGUUUGCUGGAUAGGAACAAAUAUAAAUAAAAAUUUAUAAAUCUGAUUAUCUUUUCAAAUUCUCAUGCUCCUCUCCUCCUGGUCACCAUUAAUCUCAAAGACUAUUUGUAAGCUUUUUAGUGAGAGAUUGAUUCUUAGGGUUACAAUAUGAUAUGAGAAAGGAGGGAUGCGAGAAACUGAAAUAAUGGAUGGAUUGAAGUUGAAGAGAGAUGGGAAAAACAUUGAAAAAUAUGGUGGCGGAUUAUUAAGAGAUUGGUGGAUUAAAUAGAAUUCUUCCAUUGAGAAACUAGGAGAGGCACUGCUGUUGCGUGGGAAAUGAGGAAACCUUUGGGAAAAGGAAUCACAUUCCUCAUUUAAUUUCAUCAGAGGCCCAUGGCCAAUAGAGAAUAUAUAGGGUCCCCCUUAAUUGGAGGCCCAUGGCCAAGGCCCUUCCCGCCCACCCCUAAGGCUGGCUCUUCUAACGGGUCGUGUGGUGUCAAUUUCUGAAUACCCGUUAUCACCCAUUAAGAGUAUAGUAAUUUUGUAAUUUUAUAUAUCUUUCUUUUUUCUCCUUUUUCUCUAUUUUCCCAUUAAGAGUCUGUCAAACCAAUCCAGCAUUGAACCUAGCUAUGGAAGCCUGUUUUGGGCCAGUUUUACCUCCAUUGGAUGUUAUCCUCCAUUUUCUACUUGUUACCACACCACUUGUAACAAUGUUUUACUUAGAUAAGCUGGAAUUUCAACUAAUGGUUAGUUGGUUCCCUUUUAAGUUGUUAAAAGUCAAAGAAAAUGAUGAAAGUGGAGAGAAGGGCCAAAGAACGUUAGUAGAGGUGGAGUUUAAUAUUGAUGUGCGAGUUGGCAAGGAGAGAGGUAGCCAAGCUAGGGGAGGAAAUCAGAUCCAACAUUCAACACUUUGCAAUUUUUGAAACGAGAGAGAGAGAGAGAGAGAGAGAGAGAGAGAGAGAGAGAGAGAGAGAGAGAAUAAGUGAUAUAACAAUUAUUUCGUACAUUUUUAUUAUCUUUCUCUUAGAUUCUUGCUAUGUUCUUGAGUGUGUUUAGUCCAUUUUUACUUAGUUUUGUGUUUUACUAGGUUUGAAGAGUAAAGAUGGAAAAGCAAGCAAAAGGAGAAAUUUUGGGAUUGAAAUAUGCGAAAUUUAGUAAAAAACCCAAAAGAAACAAGCUCCUGUCAAAAACACCCAAAAUAUUUUCAAAAUGACAGAAAAGCCCCUUAUCUUAAAACCCAAUGACAUGCAAAUCCUAGGCCUUUCUCUCCUCCUUAAAAGACCAAAGCAACAUGUGAAGUCUUGUCUGUUUUCUAGCAGUAGCGCAGUAACAGUGUCAGCAGCAGCAUAGUAACAAUACCAGCAGCAGCAACAACAGUAUAGCAGUCCAUAUUUUUAAGAGCUUUGUUUGUUUGUGCAUGUGAAUCUGAAAUAGUCAUGUGAAUUUGUUGGAUUGUAUAGUGUGUGCAUGCGAAGUGCAUAUAAAAUGUUUAUAUUGUUGUUUAUAAGGUCUAUAUUUUCUAUAGCUCUUUCUAUAGGGCUUUGUCUGUUUAAAUUUUCUAUGACAUCCAUAUUGUUUUGGUAAAUCUAUAUUUUUACAACUCAUGUAAAAUUAUUUUCUAAUUUGUCCUUUUGCUUUUACUUGACUACAUUCUGAUCAUAAUAUAUCAUAUACAUGUUGUAUUCUAGUUCCUAUGGAUACAUCUAAUUUCCUAGGGCGUUUUUGCCAUUCAUUCCAAAUUCUUUCUCCUAUUGGUCCUUUAAUUUUUGUCAUAUAAGUAUCUAACAAAUUAAGAUCAUCAAUUCUACAUGUUCAACCUAAAUACUUGAAAAAAUUUGAAGUAUAUUCGCUAAUAUAUUGUAAAUCACAGAUUUGUAGUUGUUCUAAAUUUCUUAUGGCUCUAAUUUGUUCUUAUUCUUUUCUACCAUCUAAUCUGUUUUGAUCUAAAAAUUCAUACUUGAUUAAUUUAACAAAAGCAUCUAUAUUAAACAUUUCUUUUGUUGCUUGAUGUUCUCUUGGAUUUUUAAUUUUCCAUGCUUGGAAGUAAUCAAAAACCAUUCCAUUUAAAGUAUGUUCAAAGUAAUCUAACAUAUCUUUAUUAUUACUAAAAUCUAACAUUAAUGCUGCAUGUACACAUCUUUUUUCCCAUCUUUCUAUAGUUUUUUCCUAAUCUUGUGGGUCUACAUGAUCUAAGUUUAGUAUAUUUCCUGCUAAACUAAUUUGUUCAAUUCCUUUAUAAGGGAUUAUAUUUUUUCUUACUCCAAAUGUUUCUUGUUGGAAAACACUCCUAAAAGAUUCUCUUCAUUAUUUUCUCUAUAUGGUUCAUUGGUUUGUCUAAGAUUUUGUUGGUCUAUUCUACUUGCAGGGGUUACAGAUGGUCCAAUUGAACUAUACUGAUAUUCUACUAGCAUGCAUUCUACUUCAAUUAACAUAUUUUGAUAUUCUUUAACAUAUUUUGAUAUUCUUUUUCUCCUAAAAUAUAUUCUAAUCCUAUAUUUAAUAUUAAAUCCUUUAUUUCUUUAUCUGAUAAUCUAUGUAAUCCCAUCUGUCAUCUUAUAUGUAUACUAGUGCUUUAGUGAGUCCAACUAUUCCUAUCAUAAUUGGUCCUAUAUGAAUUUGUUGAUAGUGUGAUUUUCUAAGAUGUUCUAUUGCCGUGUUACUAAGUAAAUUAAGAGUUACUUCUUUAUCUAUACAACUAACUUCAUGUUGACUAAUGCUACUUACAAUACUAUGUCUAUGUUCAAAUCUUCCUAAUUGAUAUACAUUAUAUUUAUUUUCUGAGAAUUUUCAAAGUCUUUUCUAAGAAAUUCUUGUGUUUCUUGUUUAUUAGGGUAUAUAUCUUUUGUUCUAACUAUUUCUUUACCUUUUCUUCUAAAGAGUUCCAUUUACUAUUAUCAAAUGGUUUAUUCUAUUUUUUCUUCUAUGAGGAUUAUUUCCCAAUGUUAUAUUUUCUAAUUUAUCAACUAAGUCUUUGGGUAGUGUAGAAGUAGUAUUGUGUACUACUUGAUUAAUUUCUGUUAUUUGUUCUUCUAAUUGGUCUACUUUUUCAGCUAAAUUUAAAAUUAGUUGGAUAAUUAAAUUGUUUUGUCUUAUAGGGAUAUUAGUGCUUACUAUAGAUGUUGUAAAGUCUGUGAGACUUAUUGGUUCUUUGUCUAGUUGACCAACUUCUUCUAAUGCCUUUAUAUAGUUAUUAUUAAUUUUAGAAUAUGUCAUUAAACUAAAAGUCUAUCUAUUUUACUAUGUAACUUUUCUACUUGUUCAGUUAAUGUUUUUUGUAUAAUUGUAUUUUUUGCACUUAUAAUUUUAAUUGCUCAAUAAUUUCUAAUGACUGGAGUUCUAUUUGUUUUGGCUUACUAUCUAUAAGAUCUAUGAGUUCUUUUAUUUCUUUCUCACUAAGAAAUCUUUGGAUAUUCCCAUUAUUAUCUUCUAAUUGGGAUGUUAUAUAGUCUAGGUUUUGUCUAAUUAUUUUUAAGAAAUUUUUCUGAAAAUAUUCUAGUAACUGUUGAAUUAUUCUAUUAUUCUUAUUAUGUUCAAAUUUUACACUUUCUAUUUGACUAAUUAAAAGGUCAAUAAUACUAUUUUCUAAGGGAUUAUUACUGCUAUGUAAAAGAUGUUUGUGUUCUUUUUGUGAAAAAUAACAAACUAAUGUAUUAUUGUCUAGAGUUAAUAUUUUCUUUUGUUGUUCAUUGAUUUCUAAAUUGAGGUAUUCUAUCAUAUAAUUAAAAUUUAUCGAAGUCUACCUUUUUCUUUUAAGAUGCCUAAAUGCUCCUGGAAAGCUUUUAUGGAUUCUUUACAGACUUCUAAAUGAUACUGAUUUCUUGUUAUGCUAUGCUGUACUUCUAAUUUUCUUAUAGGAUAAUUAUCUACCUCUAGUGAUCUUAUUAAUUCUUCUAGAUUUUCAAUUUCCUUUUGGUAUUCUGCUUUUUGUUUCUUUAAUUCUUGCAACCUUUAUUUUAUUCUAAUAGGUGUCCACCAAGGGCCAAACAUGCAAAUGGUUUACUGUUGUUAACUAGUGAUUCUGGUGCUUAACAAAAUUUUAACAGAUUAAAACGUUGUUUUUUAUCAGUUGUGUUGGAUGACUUCUGUCCUCAAUGUACUUUACUAGUAUAAUUAUGUUACUAAGGUGCUAAACUAAAGCUUUGAUACCAUUAUUUUCAAGUGGGGCUCGGUCAAGGUUUCUAAAGGCCAAAAUAACAACCAGACACCAUGCUUAGAACAUGAAACUAGAACAUGGAACUGCAAAGACGCCAACUUAAAGGGCUAUGGAGCAAAACUCAGAGGUUCUCUGAACUCAGAGGUUCCCUGACAGACAUCCAAUUAUUGUUAUGGCAAAAUAUCAAACAUGACCAAAUGCUCAAACUAAGUAUUGAUCGUCAGUUUAGCAAGAUAAUAACAAAAUCAUGAAAAGUGUUUCCCUGUUUUGGACAAGAAGUCUACUAAGAAAACCAAAAAUAAAAGAGAAAAAGACUUACUUAAUUGCUUAUAUUGCUGGAACUACUGUUAUCACCCGGUAUUAACAGUGGGGGUGAUAUAUUAACAGUGGUCAACGGUAUUAACAGUGGUUGGAGUAAGUGGAUAAGAGAAAGUAUAUGAACAAAGGGAGUUUUAUUUAUUGAAAAUUGAAGGAGGAAGUAUUGAAAUUUUUUCUUCUCUGGUGUUGUAUUUCUCUUGUCAGAGUUACAAACUAUAUACAUUGGUUUUCACUGACUCUACUAAGGAUGGCUAAGGAUGAGAGGAGAAGCCUCUCUAUCUGAUACCCUCUCUCUGAACUCUCUUUUUUACACUUCUAAAGGGAUAUGAUCCUACUGGGGGAUAUAAAAGUUAAGUGUAAAUUAAACUGUUGUCUUUUUAUCCUAAUUGGUAUUUAUUAAUACAGUGUGUUAAGUAUACUAGUCUUGUAUCAAGCUGUAUAAUUCUUACUGGUCUAGCUAGUUUUUACCUAAAUUGUUCUGGCACUAACUCUUCUUUUAUUACAUUUUUUGUGCUUCCUGUAUCUAUCAUGGCUGUUGUUUGAAUUUUAUUUUCUUUUGACAAUUCUAACUCACAAUUAAUUGUUAUUAAUGAACUUGUCUUUUGUUUUUCUAUACUAGGGUAAUUAUUCUUUUGAUUAUUGUUGUCUAGAAAACAUGUCAUUAAACUAGAAGUCUAUCUAUUUUACUAUGUAACUUUUCUACUUGUUCAGUUAAUGUUUUUUUGUACUAAUUGUAUUUUUUGCACUUUUAAUUUUAAUUGCUCAAUAAUUUCUAAUGACUGGAGUUCUAUUUGUUUUGGCUUACUAUCUAUAAGAUCUAUGAGUUUUUUUUAUUUCUUUCUUACUAGGAAAUCUUUGGAUUAAUCUCUUAUCAAGGUCCAAAAGUGUUUCCCUGAACAUAGAAAACACUUAAAAAUUAUUUUAAAAGAAUUUAUUGAUAAUGGUAUAGUUAUAAGUAGGAAUAAAGUAGAACUUGAAAAACAAGAUAUAGAAUUCUUAGGUAUGUAUAUUAAGUCAGGAACUAUACAAUUACAAGAGCACAUAGCUAAAACGGAUCUUUGGGAACUUCGUACUCGGAAGUGGAGGUAUGUACUUCAUCUAUGGUUCUUAGUAUUUGAUUUCAUUUCCAUGAGAUCUAUUUUCAGAAAUUGUCUUUUAUUCAUUUUGGAUGCAUAUGUGUCUUUCAUUUUGAUUUCCUUACCUAACUUCAUUCACAUAUGUGGGGUAAGAGUGCAACCCUAGGUUUUGGGAGAAAAUUGAGAGUUAUCCAAUGAGGCCUAGAGUCAAGGCGAAUUUGUACACACAUCGAGUGUGGGUAUCUUUAAGUCCGAGUGCUUGGAGUAUUGGCUUUAUACUUUUUCACUAUGGUGCAUUUUAUUUGUAGUGGCAUAACUUUAGUUUUUGAAUUGUGAUUGACAUUUAUUGGUUAUUAUUAGUUUGUUGGAAGUAUUGCUUUAACAAAUUUGUUUAACAAGGAGUGUUUGUGGGUGUUGUGACUGGUAAACCCUCAAGAGACACAACUCCUCCUACUAGGGACACCUAGAGGUUUAAAGGCUUGUGACACAUGCCUAGUGCCAUCGAGAUUACCUGCGAAAGUGAUUUAGUUUUAAUUUAUUUUUGAUUUUCAGUUUUGCUCGAGGACUUGCAAAAGAUAGGUUUGGGGGAAUUUGAUAAGUCUAUAUUAUAUAUAAAUAUAUAUAUUUUAUGCCUCCUUUGCUUAUUUAUUUAUUAAUUUUCUUGGAUUAAAUUGGUUGUUUUAAUUGGUUUUGUGAGAUUUGUGAAGGAAUUGUGAAAUAGGAGAAAGUGCGCUAAAAAGGGCAAGAAGAUGAAGAUUGGAGUUUAAUUCAAAAGAAGCCAAGUCAUUCUUUUUGUUGCAAGGAAUGUUGUCAAAUUUCCUAGUUCAAAAUGGUUCAAAUCUUAUCAAGUCAAAAAAGGAGAAAUAAAGAAGACCUUAUUUUAGAAGGAAUCCUACUUUUAUAAUAAUUGUAAUUAUAUCUUAGAUAGGUAGGAUUUGUAGGAGUAUUAUAAAUAGGGAGUUUAAGUCAUUAAUCAGGAGCAUCCUCCAUCAUCUACCCUCAAAUUCCUACACAUUCAUUCCCAUUGCCGAAACACUCAAAGGAGAGAGAGAGAGACAAAAAAGAUGACCUGGAGCUAGAGUUGCUGUCGUGUAGAGAUCAAAUCUUCAAUUGGUUUUUUCUUUCCUAUGAUACUAUUUAUCAUGAUUUUUUUUAAAGUUGUCAUUAACUAAUUUCUUUUUGUUAGGCUAUGAUGUAGCCUAGCCAUGAAUACUCAAUUACUUUAGUCAAUGUUAAUUCCAAGUAUUUUUUCAUGUUGAGUAUCUAUUACCAUGCUUAAUGCUUUGAAUGUUUGGCCAAUAUUUAAUUGUUUUGAUGCUAAAUUGACGAUAGGGAUAUCCAAUUUAGGGUUGCAUCUUAUAAUAGAUGCCAUGAGUUACAUGAUUAGACAGGGAUGUUUGUCAUGACUUAUGUGGUUGUUUUGUAGGUUUUCCAAGGAAUUUAAUGGGUUUUUAUUAUCUUAAUUCCAUUACUAGGGAUAGAGUGAGUUGGUAAUAAGAAUACUUUUGGUAUAACCAGCGAUGGAGUAUCGAAUAAAGUAGGGAAAAUCAACUGUCAACAUGGAGAAUAAUUAGGAUUAACAUGCUAAGGGAAUUGGGUAGAAUUGGCUAUGGUGAAAUUGAAAGCUCUAGUGCUCUCAUAACUUUAAUCUCACUACUUUAUUUUUCUACGCUUGCUUUUAUUCAUUGUUUUAGUUAAUUAAUCAAUCGAAUCUCAUCAUAAAUUAUUCAAAUAAAGUCUUGGGUUAAUCACAAUCGGUACUUAGUAAAUUAAAUCACUCUUCGUGGGAACGACAUUUCACCCAUCACUGUAUUACUUGGGCGAAUUGUGUGCUUGCAAUAAAUUUCAUAACAGGCAACCAGGUCUGGGUACCUAGGGUGAGUUUGAAAUCCACUUCUCGACACUUAAACAUAAAAACUCCAUUUUUCCAAAACUCUUCCCAAAUAUUUUCUCGGUUUUCUCAAACAAUACACCAAUCUUUCAAAACCAAACUAAUUCCCAAGUAUGCAUCAUGCUUAAUUAAAUAGACAAAAUCCCAUUUUUAAACCGAUUUUUUAAUAAAUCGUAAAUUUCAUUAUCUUGAUUUAAACCAUUUAUUAAUCUUUUCAAAUCGUAACUAAAUCCGAAACAUUAAACCAAAUCGUACUCAAAUUGAUUCACGAAAUCCGUUGAAGUUCUGGGUUGAAAUCUGGGGAGGAAUGAUAGAGGAGAGGUUGAGAAGUGUUUUGGGUGUGAUAUCACGGCCUGUAGUGCUUGGAACUAGCCGGCGCAACCUUUGCAACUUUUAGCAAAAUUCGACAGUGCUUGGGUCGAUUUUUGAAUCCAAAAUUCGAAGAAAUAUGAGGUUUUCAAAGGUGGGUAUCAGAUGGGUUCUGUAGAGAAGGAGGAGGAGAACAAUUUUCGUGAAGAUCGCGCCACCAACUAUUGCUGGAUGGCAUUGGAAUAUCGCCUGGAAGAGGUGGAGCCACUGUGCGCGCGAGAGAGAGGAAGAGAGAGAGAGGUGGUCGAGGGAGAGAAGGCUGACCUAGGUUUUAAAAAAUCCAACUUUGAAAAAAUUAUGAUUGUGCCAUUGCACUUCCAUUGACCACAACUUCUUUGUUAAAACUCCAAUUUGGGCCCACUACGUGUCUACAAGCUCGUAUCGACGAGCUUUAUGCAAUAGUGUCACGCAAAUCCCACAAAUCCUUACGAAUAGAAAGGUGACUAACGUGACCCUAUCCCAAGGGAAAAAUUGUAAUUUCACUAUUUAAGUAAAUUGAAUUAAAUGAUUAAAUUGGGUCGGGAUGUUACAUUGGACCCCUGAUAUAUCGAUUCCGUCAUAACUUCUGCUUGAAAAUGAUGUAAAUCUCUAUUCCCAUAAAUAAGAUAAGCUUUGGACAAGAUCGUUAGUGCAAUAUAUAUGUAUAGUUAUAUAAAAUAUUCAAAAAUUCAAAGUAAAAGAAAUAAAGCAUUCUGCAGAAUUUAAUUAGUCAUAUAUUGUAUUGCCAAUUUAGAAUGAUGAAGGUAGAGAUUACUUAUCUUGAUCUUCAUAGCCACCAUUAGAGAAAUUAACUUGCUAUAGCAAUCAAGUGUUUACCUAUUUGCAUAACCAACGAAAAAUGCUUGUGCCAACAAAUUUUAUGGCAUUACACCAAAGUUUUCAAUUAAAUUGCAUAAAAUGGCAAUUAAGAAUAGUUUGGAAAUCAAAUAUGUGUAGUGUCCAACAAUGUGAAAUGAAAUCAAAACAAUUGAAGCAAUCAAUAUGAAGCUUUUGACAAAAUUGAAUUGACUCACUAAUUUUUCUGGAUUCAACCUUCAGUUUAAAAGCAAUAAUAAAAACUAUAUAAAUUGUCCCAUUUAAAUACUAGUGGAAAGCUUCUACAACAGAAAUUAUAAAACCAAUUACUCAAAACUGAAACCGUUACAGUCAAAAUAUACAAAAUGAUUUCUACACAAAAUCUGGGUAAUAAAAUACAACGUAAAUAAGUAAUAAAAAUUUGAAAAUAUAUAUAGGCAUAUAUGAACAAAAUAAAACUGUCAAAUUUAAUUUCUCCAUAAAUGUAAAAGAUCUAAUUCUCAAUAAAUUGAGGUUGGUUCCAAAACAGUUGUAUCAGGUAACUAGCUAAUGCUUUUAUAGUUGUUGACUGCUUCAAAAUUAAUUUUAAAACAAGAACAAUGGCAAUAAAAUCUCAUAAACCUUUCUGCCCCUUUUUGCAACAUAAAUAUUUAUAAUAUUAUCAAAAUAUUAAGUGACAAAAUCAAUACACACAUUAAAGAUAAAAUUGGUCAAACCAAAAUCAAAUUAACGCAAAAAAUUGGUCAGACACAAUAAGUGACAAUAAAAUGUACCAACAAUAUCAUAAUGAGAUUUAAAACAUUUAAAGCAAUUGAAAUUGUAUAGACGUCAUGAAAGCUUGAAACUGCAUCUACUUAAAAUAAAUAGCAAUUUUCAAUUUGAAAAUCCAAUACAAAUGCAAAAGUUUCAGUCAAAGAGUUAAAAGGUAUUAAGGCAAUAACUGUACGGGAAGAAAACAACUUUAAUAUACAAAGACUUUAGAUUGUUAUAAAAGAUAUAGUUUUUCUCUUUCCGUAAAGCCAAAUACAAAAAUAUUUAUAUUAUAAAUAACAUAUAAACAAAUUGGAAAGCUAUUAAGCUACAAUGAAACUGAAGAAAAAAAAAUUGAUAGGUAAGUAAAAGCAAAAUAAAUUAUAAGUAAGAAGGUGAGCUUGGUACGGUGAAGCACGUCAAAGAUACUGUCCUAAAGCCCUUGUACCCUCCCUACGUGCAGGUACUGACGGUCUACAAGACUCCAAGAUACGACCCCUUGUACACAAACUCAAGAUCCACAAUGAGCACGUUCAUAGACGGAUGUAGGCAUCCAAGUCACUGAACCAUUGCCCAAAAUAAUAAUAUAAGUAGAGAAAGUAUAAAAAGUUGAAGAUGAGAGAAUUAGAUUGUGGUGGUGAUUGUGGUAUAUGAUAUUCUGAUGGUGUAUUGUGGUUGUUCAAAUGUGAAGGAAGAGUGGCUUUUUAUAAGCAUCUAAUAACAUGUAACCUUCACCCCAUUAAUCUAGAAAAUUAAGGCAUUCAAUAUAUAAAUAAAACUUGAAAAUUAAAUAUUUAUAACCCCCACAAUAAAUAAAACAAAACAGCCAAAAUAAUUAAAUAAAUAAAAACAGUUAAAUUUUUAAAACCUUUUUAAAAUUCCAACAGUAAGAAUCAUUCAUGUGAAUUGAUUUCUUGAAUGCCUAAUAUAAACAUCAUACUAUUAGAGUUCUUGUGAUGUUCAUAUUCUCUUCAAACUUAAUGGGUUUCCUUAUAUGAUUAAAUCGAAGUAUUAAACACACCUAGAUUGAUUGUGUAGGAAACACAAGUAUUGUAGCAAACUAACAUGCACAUUACUUAUCUUAGAGAGAUCAAUGCAUCUUGAGCUACUAAAACCCGAUCUUGAUUGUGAACAUCUUCAUCAAUGUGUCAAGAAUUUAUUACUUAAAAGUGUUCGUGAACAUGAGUAGAAUUGUUUAGGGGUGGAUUUCAAAAACUCUAGUGUUUGUCAUCAUAUUAAAUUACACGUUGUUAAUCACAUUUGUUGAUCUUGCUAAAAUUAGAGUUCAGUUACAUUUUAAGCAUUAGAAUUAGUUCACUUGAAUCAAACCCCCCCCCCCCCCCCUUCUCUUUUCCCAUUUUUUGUUUUGUAUAUGUGUUGGUUGAAGUCGUGAGUGUUCUUUCCACUGACUUCUGCUAACUUUUGUAGAUGUGUUUGCCAUUUGGCCUAUGUUGAGUUCUUCAUUUUUUCGUGCUAAAUCCAACCAUAUAAAGAACGUAAAAUUUGGAUUAACAGUUUGAAAGUUAGAGUCAAAAACGGGACAAGGGUCGAAACUAGAAAACAUAGGAAGUUCAUAAAUUCCUCUCUGACCGCUACAGUGCCCAGUGAUAAAGAAGCGAUAAAAUGGUGAUAAAUCAGUGAUAAAGUGGUGAUACAGGAGUGAUACAAAAUGCUUAUUGUGUUUACCUUUGGUUUCUUGUUCUGUUUCAUUUCUUUUACUUUUCUUUACUCAUUUAUAAUAUCCGAUUUGUAUUUUACCUUUGUGUUGUGUUAAAUAAGUGCUCUUUAUAUACUCAAACUAGACCUUUGUAGCCUCCAAUUCCUCGUGGGAACAAUCCCGUAUUUACAAAUCUAUACUCUAAUAGAUUCGUACACUUUAGGGUAUUUUUAAUUGGAUGAUUAGCACAUUAACAAUUUAUGUACAAUCAAUUUAUAGCAAUUUAAUUUAUAAAUUUAUUUCACCGCACAUUUACAUUUAAAUAAAGUAUGGUGCGAGAUUAUCGUCCAUAUCAGCAAUUUAUUUACAAGCAAUUUAUAGCAAUUUAUUUUAUGAAUUAAUUGUGUGAUAUGAUGAGUUUUACCGCAUACAGAGAUCAGGACUAGAAGUUCCAUGAUCCUCAUCAUACAACUACAUCGGGACUUGAAGAUUCUUGAUGAUGAUAAUGAUAUGAGAGCUGCCAGUCUCUUUGGUACUAUAUUUGUAAACAAGAGAUUGGACCUGAAGAUCCUUGAUCAUUGACAUAUAAAUAAGGACAUGGAGUUCCUUAAUAUUGUAAUAGUACCGUAUUGAUUAAUAGUGCUGUAUAAAUGAAUAGUAAUUGUAGUGGCAAAUGUACUGUACGCAUGAAUAGACAAGUAUUCAUGACCUGAUGAGUAGUAUCGUAUACAUGAAUAUUGACGUAUACAUAAAUAUUAACCAUUUUGGGUAAACCAUCACUAUAUACAAAAGUGAACAUGCAGUUCCUUAAACUCAUGGAUGAGCAAUUAAAUGAGAAGUCAGAAGCUCCUCAAAACAUGGACAAUUAUGUAAGGGCCUAAAGUCUCGAAAUAUGUAUGGGGAAUUAUAAAAAUAUCCAUACCAUGAAAAUAUGCGAUUUUGGCCUAAAGUUCAAAAUCUGACAAUAUUGAGAACCUGAAGUUCCAGUAGUUAAAUGGACAACCCUUGAGGUAUUAUAGCAUAUUAUGAUACACCACAUAUUUCUUUGGCAUAAGAAAAUGAUGAAUUUAAUAAAGUUCGAUUCUGUUAUAAUCGACACCUCAAGAAAUAUAUUUUGUGAAUUCCGAUUGUUAAGAAUACAUCGUGAAAUGGAUAAUAUCAGGAUAAGCCUCAAAGGAUGAAUUAAGGCUCCCCACAUAUUUUAUUAUAUUAUGUGAUCUGGGCCAAAAGCCCAUGGAUCCAAAUAUAUGAGAAAUCUCUAACCUGAAGUUUUGGGUAUAUAGUAGUUAAUGUUCUUCACUACUAUAUUGCAAUAUUAUCAUGGCUUUUACUCAAUUUAUAUUUCAUGCUCAUUUCAAAAGGCAAAUAAAUUUUCAAGUCAGGUUUAACUCGGGCCAGAAGUUCCGGACUCACAUUCAUUGAAAUAUGUAAUUUAAGAGAUUUGAUGUGGUUAUUUGAACCUAUAAGGCACAAGGUUCCAAACUGUCAUUUUGAAAAGACGUAAAAACCACAAGGGCAAGUUUAAGAAUUUACCCAAUCAUUAUAACAAGAAAGGAGCAUACAACAUAUAGAAUCUUUUCACCUGCAAGGAAGGAGUAGGCUCUAUAAAAUCUAUAAAAUUCCAUUAUGUUCUGAAAGCCUCUGAAGGAAGAGGACGACGCCUCUUAAGCUUAGUUAUGAGCCUCUUGGUCUCCCAGAAUCUUUUCAUUGAAAAUCUGCAGCAUGUCAAGCCUUGUCUGCGUAUUAAUGUAGUAUGAACUCACUAGUUUCAACAAGGCCUUAUUUUCCUUUUUAAGUAUCUCAACCUCUUGUUGAGACUCAUGAAGCAUUCUCUGAAGAGACGAAUUUUUAGUGUUAAGCUAAUGAAUCUCGUUUUCUCUGGCAUGCAAACGAUCAGCCAUGUUAGAAACAGAAGCAGCACUCUGAAUGCUAAAAACCAUUGAGUCAUCAAUAGCCUCUUCGUCAGACUUUCCUGUUAACAAUAUUUCAUCCAUAGGAGUAAGGAAAUUCAUAGCCACUAUGGCAACAAUCAUAUCAUUCAUCAUCACAGAAUCAUUAAUCGUGAGACGAUUUUGAGAUUCAUCAUCAUCACGAUUAAUGAUUCUGUGAUGAUGAAUCUCAAAAUCGUCUCACGAUUAAUCAACAAAGGAUGGACGCCAGACGAUUUUAAGAUUUUGGGUUAUUUUGGGAGCAACAUUUAAAUCAAGAUGCUUUGGGAGAGAAGAAGAGAAAGCCAUUUUAAAAGGGUUUCAAGGAAAGUCUUAGAAAAGCUAAAUUUUCAGAAAAUGAAAGGAAGUUGAGUUGAAACGCAGUUACUCCAAUCAAGCCUUGCAGAGGCAAUAUCUAUAGAUGAAAAUGUGGCACCGUUUCCAGGAUCCCAAUAUUUUCUCAGAUCCCCAUAUUCUCUUUUUUUUUUUCCCAAAUUCCAAAACUUCACGCGGCCUCCAUUAAUGUCUGUUGGCACUUUAAGGGUUCUCAAGGACUAUUUUUGUCAAAGCCGCCUUGCUUUUCGGAUUUCACGGAGUUACUUUUUUCAAAGCAUCUCGAGAACCUCACAAAUUUCCAUAGUUAAUUUGAGAUUCAUCGGAUCAAACUGUUCCUCUAAUUUGUGUAUAAAUAUGUUACCAACGAAAUUUUCUUUGUAGAAUACAUCCAAUUUUCUCCAGCUUUCUCCAUAUCUAGUGAUGCAAUAUCCAUUUGUUUUUCCUAUCAAUGAGUGCUCGAUGCGCUUGAGAAGCGAGACUAUCCCUAAUCACGUUUCAGCUAGAUCAGGGAACUGUAAGGACGACUACAUGCUCUAAUCUCUUGAAGUUCUUCUAAGGUAGGAGAAAUGAGAGUUUGUUGUCUGUUACCUCAGUAGUUUCCUUCCCUGAUUUCUUACCUACCUUGCAAUCAAUAUCACAAUUCUUUGUAUCUUUUCUUUCUUUUUACAACUCUCUGUUCAUAAGUGAUUUUGUUUCUUUAGAAUGAAAAUCUGAAGAACAAAUCCAUGUAGUGAACCUAACACUGAGGUUUUUAUUUAUUUAUUUACACAUAUAGAAGAAUUGUGAUUUUUGCUCUUGCAGGAUAUAACUAGAUCAUCAAGCAUUACAUUGUAUUUGCUGAGCCGAUACGAGUUUGAACGAUAUUUGAGCAAAGCUUCUCCCACCUAAGGAUGUAAGCAAUAUUUGUGUUAUUUCAUGCUUGUACUCUUAUUUUGAUAUUUUGUAUGACAUCCUUAAAGGUAACCAAAUGGGGAGAUAAGGCCGUUUCAGAAGAACGCCAUGCAAAUGACCAUUCUAGAAGAAUGGCUUGUAUCAUUCUGAUAAGUAUUCAUGAAUUAUUAAUGCAAAUUUCAUAUAUUGGAAGUUUAAUUCAUUGAUAAUACACUGCUUAGAUUAAAGUCCCAUAAGAACUGAACAUGGGUAUAGCAGUGAUCAAUAUGAUGCAUACCUAUUGCGUAGUAAAUGAUAUGGAUUGAAGUCCCGGAAGGACAAUCCAUUAACAUGUCAAUAUUAAUACGGUGCAUGCCUAGUGCGUAGCAAAUUAUAUGGUUUAAAGUCCUAGAAGGACAAUUAAUUGACAUGUAUGUAUUGAUCUGUGGCAUGUCUGCAGCAUGACAGAUAUAUGGGUUCUAAAUGUUCCAAAUCCCUAAAUGGAGAUUAUCUAGGGCCUACUAUAAAAUAAUGCUCUAUUGGAGGUUAAGAUCCACAUUCUAACAUAAUUCAUCCUAUAAGAGAUGUUUGUCUGGAAAGAGAUAAUAAAAGCCCCUGAAGUGGCUUCGGUACCCAAAAGCAAAAAAUGCUCAUAAUUGAUGCAUGCGCUGACAGGACCCGACCCAAAUUCCACUUUGGAAUAUGUGUGGAACCCUAUGCAUGUCCUACACCUGGCAGGUGUCGGGCAUAAAUGUCCAGAAUACCCCUCUUGCCUUGAACUGCAAAAUGAAAAACACACUUAAGGGUUUAACUUAUGCUGGAAAACCAGUAGAGUUUCCCCUAAAAAACGGAUAUUUCCCAAUAAAUUUUACACCUGUAAAAAUAUGCAGUUAAAACUGAAAUUCAAAUCCCAAUCGUUCAGCAUGCAUUAGAUAAAUAACUUUAAAAAGUUUCAGACCUCAUUAUACCAAAUAAGUCAUUCUGCCAUCUUAAACUGGUCUCAAUUCUUAGAAUAACAUGAAUAUGUUAUCAAGUUCCAAUAUAACUUAACUGAACAAAUUGUCAACACUUGAUCUUGUGGCCGCACCUAGUAACUCUAGGUUGCCCUCAUACCCUUUCAAAGGGAUCAAGCCAUACGUGGUUCUUUCACUUUUCACAGUAGCACUUGUAUAUCUUCAUCAAUUGUUAUUUUUCAAUGUAAUUUGCAAAUCAAACCACUGAAACUCAACCAAGGGCUGUUGAUGUUAGAACAAUCUUCCACUCAUCCCACAUGUGCAUAAAUAAAUAAAUAAAUAAAUAUUAUAUAUAAAAUUAACUUAUUACCUAUAAGUAGGAAAACGAGAAAAUUAUUAAAAUAGCAUUGAUCACGUGAAACCUUAAUGGUAACAAUUUAAAUAAAAUAUGUUUCCCUCUUUCACAAGUGAAAACAAAUUCAUCACUUAAGAAAAUAAUUGUGAAUUAUAUAAAAUCCUUAAAACAUCCGUAGCACCGCAAAUUUGACACAAUUUUUUAACCAUUAGAUUUGACUACAAUGAAUGGUUAAGAUUAAACAAAUUAAUUCUUUUUAUUUAAAUAAUUAUUUCUUUAAAUUAAUUUUAAUUAACUUACUAUAAUAUUUUAUCUCUCUUCAUUUACGUUUUCCCAACUUACUAAAAGCAUUAACAUUUUCUCUCACGUCAUCUUCUUCUUCAUGCCUUAACUUCUGUUUUUUCUUCUUCUUCCAAAUCUUCUCUCUGCCUUUAACAGUUUCUCUAUUACUACCAGCACUAAACAAGAAGUAGCUCUUCUCCCUCCCAUAUUUCACAUGUUAGCCAUUAAUUUUUUCCCCCUAAGAUUUCAAUCAAUAUAAUAAAUAAAUGGUAUGAUCUAAUUCUCUUAGUAUGAAUUUUUUUUCCUGAUCCUUUUUUUUUUUUUUAAAUUUGUUUGGGGUUUGGUUCAACUACUGUCUUUGUCUAUCUUGCAGCAAAAUUUGGAGAGGUUUAUCUUGUAGUCAUGUAUGUUGGUUCUUUUGUUAUUUUCUUGAGCUUUGAGUCUCUAAAUCCUUGGAUUACUUUCUAUUCGAAUUUCUUUUUCCUCUUACAUUUGUGGAUUUCUUAAUGUCUUUUACCAUGAGAAGUUCAAGUUCAUUCUCAAACAGUUUAGCACCUAACUGCAGCAGAAAGUAUCCAUAGCUUCUUAGCACAAUAAACAACUAAGAUUUUCAAACAAUCUCCAGAAUAUUUAGUGAAAAUUACAGUAAGUGUUGGAGUGGAAAAAUCUAGAAUAGAUCCUUGCGUGUUUGGAGAUCAACUCAGAACUUUGUUUCCAAAUAAAGGAAAAUCAAUUAAAUAAAUAAAAAAAGUUCAAACUCAAAAUGUGAGAAUAAAUGAGAUUGGAGGAGAUGGAGAGAUUUUAGUCUACAUUUAUGCUACCUUGAAAAGUGGUAAGUUUAAUAUUUUAUUUUAUUUGUUAUGUUAUCGAAAUAAAAUAAAUAAAUAAUAAGAUCACAUUUAAUCUUAGCCGUUGAAAGCGCUUGCAUCUAAAGGCUAUAAAAUUGUGUCAAAACUUUUGUCAAAUUUGUGGUGCCACGGAUCCGCCCCCAAUUAACUUAUAAUCUAUAAGUAGGAGAACGAGAAAAUUAUUAAAAUAGCAUUGAUCACGUGAAACCUUAAGGUCAAUAAAAAAACAAUUUAAAUAAAAUAUGUUUCCCUCUUUCACAAGUAAAAACAAAUUCAUCACUUAAGAAAAUAAUUGUGAAUUAUAUUAAAUCCUUAGAACUUAGAAAACUCUCAAUCCUUGUAUCAUAAGUUGGGAAACAUAUAUUAAAACCUUCACCAAUAAGUACCAAGAUAAAAUUAUAAAUUUUAGUUUAAAACAUCUCAAAAUUCAAAUACUCUCCACCUAGGUGUACCCUCAUUCAUAACCCGUCAAAUCCACUAAUAUUCUGUCAAUUCUAAUAAUAUUCCGUUAAUUCCAAGUACCAUGUCCAUUACAUCCUCGCAGAACUCAGGGGACACGUACUCAGCCUGAGAUCGCAUAUCUUUGCAGAACUCGGGGGACACAUAGUCAGCCAAAGAAUGCACAUCCUUGCAGUAAUAAGGGGACAAGUAGUUAGCCCGAGAAAACAUAUUCUGGCACCACACGGUUCAGGCGUCUCUGUUGCUCGUGGGGCAUCAUCAUAAAUGACUAAACUUUUCCAAAGGCAACCUGGGAGGGGGGAGGGGGGGGGNNNNNNNNNNNNNNNNNNNNNNNNNNNNNNNNNNNNNNNNNNNNNNNNNNNNNNNNNNNNNNNNNNNNNNNNNNNNNNNNNNNNNNNNNNNNNNNNNNNNNNNNNNNNNNNNNNNNNNNNNNNNNNNNNNNNNNNNNNNNNNNNNNNNNNNNNNNNNNNNGGUACUCCUGUGGUAGGUUUGAAAACCAUAUUUUGAAACUUAUCAUAAACUUUCCCUUAUUUCACAAAUCCAUUUUCCAAAUCUUUUAUCAACUUUCCAAAAAUCAGUUCUCAAUUACAUUUAAAUUUGUACCACCUACUAUUGAGAAUAGCAUUUAUGAUUCAUCUAUUUCAAGCCACUGAGUAUAUAUUAAAUAUAGGCAUAUAUUAGACAUUUAAUUAAUUUCUUAUCCACACCAAAAUCCGGUUAAUAAGCUGUUCUCAACUUUACACAAUCAAACAUAAUAUAAUAUCCUUAGAAAGUAUAAGCGAUUACAUAGUAACUCAUAAACAUUUAAAUAAUCCAAUACCACUCAGUCAUAUACUUUAAUAUAAUAAUAAUAAUAAUAAAAAAUAAAUAAUGUUAGAUAAAAACCCCUAGAAAUCCUAUAUUGGUCAAUGGGGCCUAGGGGAUCCACGACCUUCGAUUUCCUAUCCGAAAGUUUCUACAAGUUCAGCCAAGUCUACUAAACACGUUCUGCAAGUUUGAUCUCGAUCGAGCGAUCGGAUUGCUCACGAUCGCGCAGUCGGAUUGCUUAUGAUCGCACGAUCGGAUGGUUACCGUUUAUCCUAAACUUUAAAUUAUUGAUCGGAGCAUUCGGGACUCCACUUCACUCUCCGUAAAUUCCUACACGAUCCUAGAAGUGCCUAGAUCAACAUAAGUGAAAAUGGAGUCGAUCCAACGGUCUAAACAUAUCGAACCCGAAUAAUCCCUAGUAUGAGAUAUUUGAUCGAUAGUCAAACGAUACCCAAAUUCAAAUCCGAACAUACCAUCAUGCUCGGAACGACAUGGGGAACAUUUUAGGACCCAAAGGCCCGCCAAAAAGUGGCCCACGUGCCGCCACACUCCUCCGCAACACGUGGGUGUCCAUAGUAAUUCCGGUGAUAGGAAAAUUUUUAAACUGCCGAUGAAGACCCAUACCUACAUGAUCAGAACAAUGAGUGGAGCAACAUUUAUUCUUGGACCAUGGCCAAAAAGUGGUCGGAGAUAGCCGGAAUUACAAACCGAAACUGGCCAAAACUUUAAGCGAUAAUUUGAAAUCCAAAACGCAGAAAUCAAUCAUAUUCAACCCAACCAUCAGCUAGAACACAUUGAGAGGAUGAAAAAGAAUAUCUAGAUCGAUGAAAAUGGUGGCCGGAAUCACCCAAACGAACUCUGUGGAAGUUUUGAGUAAAACCGGAGACUUUUCUCGAUAUUCUGGCGAGCACAGGCGGUGGUGGCGGCUGGGAAGGGUCGGGAUGGGUAGGCGACGUCGCGCUGGUUCUUUUGGAUGUUACGACAGUCGCCCAAAAAGCCACUAGAUGAAUAGUAAUAGCAAAGGGGUGCUGUUUCGCAUGCACAGAGAGAGAGAGAGAGAGAGAGAGAGAGAGAGAGAGAAUUUUAGGUUUUCCAAAAAAAGAGAAAAACUACACUUUAGUUCCUGGAGGUUUAAUGUCAGUAUCGAAAUGGGCCACGACAUUUCUAUUAAAUCAAUUUCAUACCCAACAUUUGAAAGUAUUACCAAUUUGCACCAACCGUUAUAUUUACCGUCAAAGUCAAACGUUAAAUGCUGACGAGGCAGUCGUGGGACCCAACUCAUAACCAAACAACAGUUAAAAGAGACCAAUAUGGGAGCCACCCACUAACCAAUUUCAAUAUAUAUAUAUACAGUCCCGAUCUCUUGGACUACAGGAGUCCGAGAGAUUGUGGUCACCUACCGUUGGAUAUUAAUCCAAUGGUUCAAAAAAGUUUCUUAAAAGGAGUGCAAGAGUGAGUGAACGGUUGAAUGUACAUCCAAUGGUAAGUGACCACAAAUCUCUUAGACCCCUGUAGUCCAAGAGAUCAUGACUGUAUAUAUAUAUAUAAAAGCAUUAAGACCAAAAACCUACCCAACCCCUUCUCUGUUCCCCAUCCCAACCCAUCAUCGGUCGUCACUCCCUCCCUUUCCUCAGCUCAUCCUCAACCUCUUCUGUCUACCCACUCGUUUGCCCCAACUGAACCUAACCAACAACCCACCCAGUGGCACCCAAACCACAACCCAACCCACCCUACCCCUGACCAUACAACCCUAGCAACAAUCCCAUCACAACAAAAUUACACAGAACAAACAAAAAUGGAGAACCCCACCUGGAGACCCAACCCCUAUGAUACAAUUUGUAACUCUUAGGGGGGCGUUGGCGGUGGCACAAGAGGGAGACGUUGACAGUUGGCGAUGUUGGCUCAUGGAUAUUAUGGGCAGUGGCGACCAUCGAAACAACCUCCUCUCUCUCUCUCUCUCUCUCUCUCUCUCUCUCUCUCUCUCUCUCUCUCUCUCUCUCUCUCUCUCUCUACAGACAACAACUAGUUUCAAAAGGGAAAGAUAAAACAACCAAAUCACCAAAACAUACCAUCAAAACAAAACAAAAUGGCAGUAACCAAAUUCAAUUUUUUUAUUUUUUAAAAUUUAAAAAAGAUCUCUCUAAAAGAAUCCACCAUAAAUAACCCAUUUCCUCCAAUAUCUUUGUGUGUCUCCAUCCUUUCCAUCCUAGCUCUUUCUGCAUUUAUCCACAUCUUCCAUUUCCUCCACUGCCUUCCAACAUUAAUGGGUCGGUUCGAUACUAGCUGUGGGAUAGGUUGUGGAUUUUUUUGCCCUGUCCAUGGUGGAGAUUUGGGUUGAGCUUGUUUUUAGUGGGAAUUAUAUGGUUAUGGAGAUGGAGAAAGAGUGUUGGAGAUGGAGAUGGUGGAAGCCAACGAAAUUGAGUGUUGAAGAGAAGGGGCUGGGGUUUGCAGCUCUUAGGUUUUUUAAAGUUUAUUUUAUUUUAUUUUAUUAUUUUAUAUAAAAUUAAUUUUUUGAGUUGGGUAGUGGGUGGGUUCCACAAUGGACACGUCAUCAGUUAACGUCUGACUAAACAGUCAACUUAACGAAAUAAAUUGGUCAAAUUUGAAACUAUAGGGUGUAAAUUGAUGAAAUUGAAACUCGGGGGGCCCAUAUUGAGAAUGACCCCAAACCUCCAGGGGGUCUUUUGAUGUUAAUCCUAAAAAAAACUUUUCGAAAUAUUUAUGAUUAUGCCACUGGGCUUCCACAGAUCAUAACUUUUCCGUUAUAACUCCGAUUUGAGCUCACUACGUGUCUACGGACUCAUCUCGACAUGCUCUACAUUACUAAAAUCUCCAAAUUCUUUCCUGAACAAAAAGUCAACUUUAAACCCAUUAAAAUAUUCUCGGGGUAAAAUUAUCUUUUACUUGAAUAUUUUAAUAAUUAAAUAUUAAUCUAGGAUCGGGUUAUUACUAUUUAUCCCCCUUAUAAAAAAUUUCGUCCUUUAAAUUUCGUAACUGCCUUGGUACAUUCUAAAUUGCACUCCGACCCCUUAACCUCAUAAAAAUUACACGACAACCCCACAUCUCUAAAUUUCUCUGCAACUUGUCCUUGUUCACAAAACAAUUUCCAGUUUCUUCCUAUUCCUCUUUCAAUGCUCACAAGUUCAAUUUUACUUUCUCCAAUCCUCAACAUAAAGUUUUUAUGUCUCAAGUUAUAAUUCCUCCCGAACCGUUUAUUUCCAACGUGUAUACUACAUUUUCAUAUGAAAACCUCAACAAAUUUUUCAAAUUUUUAUUUUUAUUUUUUAUGCCUUAAACUCAGCCAUGCCGAGAAGGUAAGACAACACAGUGAAACGUGGUGCACUUCACUAAAAAUAAGGAUGCACACGAGGUGCCGAGUCUACAGGAAUUUAACCUAAUGCUCUAAUACCAAACUGAUAGGACCCGACCCAAAUUCCACUAUGGAAUCUGUGUCGAACCCUAUGCGUGUUGAUAGGAUUUUUGGUACUUGUGCAAACAGAGUUAAAAUCACAUAAAAUACUUGCAAGAAUACAAGGCUAUUGUAGUAUAGAUGCUCAUGCAAGGUCGUUUUCCUCAAGGACUAAUUAGCAAUUUAUAUAAAAACAAAUUCCAAAUAACUACUUAAAAUAAAAGGUCAAGAAAGAUGAUUAUGAAUUUGGUUGAUUCUAAAAACAAAUACAAUUGAAGGAAAGAGUUUUGAAUAUCAAUUUAUAAAAGCACUAGGGUUUCACCAUCACCUAGCAAUCCUAUGAACUUUUACCAAUUACUUAUGAUUUGCAAACAUGCCACUUUGAAGGUUAGGUUUUUCUAAUGUAUAUUCUACUUGGAACCUCCAACACAGAACGUAUAUCUAACAUGCAACCCGUCCGGACGUUCGGAUCAAAUCUGAACAUGAAAGAUUCAUUAAGUUUUGUGAAAACCCUUUGAAAAACCAUGCAACCCUUAAGACGUGGUAUUCAUCUGAAGUGAAAUUACAAUUAUUAAUCACAAGAAGCUAGCAUCAAUUUCAGGGAACCUUCCGACCAAAAUUGCAUCCAAUUACUUUUCUAAAGAUCCUAAUGGUGAUCAGGCAUUAAGACAAUUAGAUAGUUUAAAACAGUGAUUAACAAUUCAAGUAGGCAUGCACUCAUCAUAAGCAAUUAAAUAAAAAUCACAUAUUCAUGCUAAGGUUCAAGGCUUCACCCUAGCAAAAGAAAUUUAGUUACGCAUACUCAUAAUUGAAAUCCAAGAAAAUAUCAUUAAGAAGAAAAGAACGAAAACACCUGAAAGUUGUGAAAACUCAAAACCCUAGCAAUUGCUCUCCACAAAUACAAAGUUCCAAAGUGAAAAAGGGCGUCCCCAAUUCCUUGUGAGAAAGAGCUUAAAUACCCCUUAAAACCUAGCUGCCAAUGUACAGCUUUUCUAUCCCCACAAGGAAACUAAUUAAAUAAAAUAAUACUAGGAAAUAAAGUCCAAAUUGAAAUAGGAGAAUCUGCCCAAAAUCUGCCCAGCCAUGUUUUGGCCCCAAAUCUCCUCCAAAUCUGGCCCAAGAUAGCUUGUUUUAAAGAUAAAAAUGUUCUGAACACUUCUCUAGAAGGCCACGAACCCAUCCGAGGUCAUCUUGGGCUCCAAAAACGCAAUAACAGCCCAACAUGUCACUAUUCCAGCACCGCGCACUGCUCCUUUAUUUUGUUGCCAGAAAAUAACCGCUUGGAAGAAAAAUCUGAAAUUUUGGUACGAUCAAGCUAAGUGACUCAAGAACGUCUCCAGCUGGAAUUACUCCAAAAUUCCUCAAUUUGUUUAUGUUUUGCUCUAGAGAGAGUCGAAAGUCCUAUAUUAGAAAUAUAAUUCAAAGUAUCAAAAUUCUUCCAAAAUAUUAACCAAAAUAUACUAGGAAUGAGGUUAAAUAUAUAAUAUAAAAUAUGUCCAUCAAAAUACCCCCAAACUUAGCUUUUGCUUGUCCUCAAGCGAAACAAGACUCAAAUAAAAACUUAACAGAUUAGACAUCUGGCUAACACUUAACUAGGACAAAAUUUCCAUCUUCAAGUUGCAAUCCAUAGAAAAUUUUAAAAACUAGAACAUCCUUUCAAUAGAUCCAAGUAAUCCCACCACAAAGUCUAAGCUAUUUAGACUCAAUUAGAAAAGAAUUCACAAACUUCUUUCGGUGUAAAGUGAACCAUUAUGGUUAUGGAGACUCGACUAAAACCCUUAACUCUCAUCCCUUUUAUUCAUACUUCACACACUCCACACUCUUUUUUUUUUUUUUUUCCAUUUCUUUUUUCUAUUUUGUUUUUUGUUUUUAUAGUAACAGUAGUGGUUGUGCAAUGUUGGUUCCCUUAAGCUUUCGAUCCAACCGUCUAGCCAGCUUUAGGUCAAUGUCUCCCAAACCACUCGGGUUUUAGGGCACUAGGUGUAGAACACCCCUAAGGACUUAUUAACUCAAGCUGAAAAGGCUACGAAACCAACUAACCACCCUGUCUCAUGCCAAAACUCUACCUUUUGUCUCGAGAAUCACUGCUGAUUAGGCAGGACUGGCCCGGUUACUAGCAAAGUUUCGGGUGAGGCAAUUAUUACUUUAUAACACAUACUAACUUUAUUUAUAUUGAACAGAAAUUAAAACACACUUGGACAAAAAGUAAGUAUUCCAAUCUCACUCCCCAAAACCAUGUUGAUGUGAUGUGCAAAUUUCAAAGUAUAAUUCAUGAAUUAGUGUCUAAGCAACAAUAAAUAGAAAAGACUCUAGUGUGGGAUUGAUUUUCACCAUGUCCAUUUGUUCUAACGUUUAAAAUAAUCUAUGGAUAUUGACUGAAAAAAACGAAAAUUUUUAAACAAGACUCAAAAAAAUGAAAAAUAUAAAAUUUACUUUCCCACCCCCAAACUUAAAUCACACUUUGUCCUCAAGGUGUGGAAAAUAAACAAAGGAAACAACUAAAGAAGUAAUUAGGAGAGAAAAAAAAAAGAAAAAAGAAAAAAAAUGAACAAACCAGGGAUGUGGAGGUGACACUGCGGUGAUUCGAAGGCAGGACUUGGAGCUGGAAUGCGAAGAGCGCUGACCAACCCAACCACGUCCACACUUGUGUCAAAUAUGAGCGACAACGACAAUAUAACAUGGUUGAGCUGCUGCAUCUGUCAUUUAAAAAAAAUACUGGAUUCCCUUCUCCUAGCCCGAGCCCUCUCUUCUGUCCAUUCCUAGCUCAGACUGUAAAUCACAAAAGACGCUUUUUUUAUUUCACUCAGUUUCAACCCAUCCAUCUCCACCCUCUCCCCUUGUCAUCUAUAGCAAGAACUCAAGAGCCUUGGCUAUCUUUCAGAGCAUAGUCGUGUGGGUUCAUCCAUGUGAGGGUGCCAAAUCCAGAAAACCCUCAACAAAAUCAAAAUCACCAUCCGCUGCGGCGUCGUCGAAGAGACAAUAGGAUGCUCACCGAGAUCCGUCCCAACUUUGACCCCAACGACUCAGAUGAGCUGACCCAGACGGAGUUCAACCCCAACACCACAUACACUCGUAGUUCCUGAGCUUGGUUAACGGUAAGCUUCGCGUUGUGCUCAUAACUGGGUCUCAGUGUGGGUAUUUUUGUGUUGAAAGUAAUUAAGAGCAAAAGUGAUUAUUGCAGACUUCGUUGCCUUGUUCUGAGAUACUCAUCCCCGUCUGUUGGUGGAUUUCAGCAAGCAAGUCAAUCUUCAAGUUGGGAGCAGGUAUAAUAUCGAGUCCCUGCAAGUUUUUUUUUUUUUUUCUUUUGUAGAUCUGCAUUAAUUCAUGGGUCUUUCUGGAUUGUGAGAAUUUCUGCUUAUUUGUGUCUUUUGGUUGGUUCUGAGAGCGAUACUUAAUUGUGUGGUGUCUGGCUAUGUGAUGUAAACUGAGUUGCAAAAAUUAACUUCUCAAAAUUAUCUAUAUGUGCUGGAUCCGCAACAGCUUCCCCCAAACUUGCAUCUUCGAGUGAGCUCGAGCUCAUGUGAAUUGCUUUAACUUCUAGUAUAGUGUAGAUGUGGUGAUGUUAAUAUAGGAUUGCUGUUGGGUGCAUGAUUCCAGCUGCUGCUGCUGCUGGGUGCAAGAUUCCAGCUGCUACUGGGUGCAAGAUUCCAGUAUAGGAUUUUCUGUUUUUGAUGCUUGCUGAUGAUGGUUGUGUCCUGCAUUGAGUCAUAAACGGCCUGCGUUGAGUCAAUUAUGUGUUAGGAAUAGAAAGAAAAAAAAACAACUAGAUAAAGAAAACAAAUUUUUUUUUUUUUGUUUUCAAAAUAAAAGAAGUAAAGAGGUUAGAAAAAUUGGGUUGCCUCCCAAUAAGCGCGCUAUUUUAAAUCUGGAGCUAGACUUUGCAGAAGCCUGGUGGUCAAAUCACUGGUUCCUUCAGAGUCAAAGACUCGACUGCAAUGUCAAAGGGUGUCUCCACGUAGGGUUUCAGCCUAUGACCAUUCACCUUGAAUGUGUUGCCUUUAUCUUCAUUAGUGAUUUGAACUGCUCCAUGAGGAAAAACUUGAGUCACUAGGUAAGGUCCAGUCCAGCGAGAUUUUAAUUUCCCUGGAAACAACUUGAGCCUUGAACUAAAUAACAGAACCUUUUGCCCUGGUUGAAAUUCCUUUCGUAAAAUUUGACUGUCAUGAAAUGCCUUAGUUCUUUCCUUGUAGAUGCGAGAACUAUCAUAAGCACCUUGACGAAUUUCCUCUAGCUCAUUUAACUGCAAUUUUCGCUUUUCCCCAGCUGAGUCAUAUGCAAAAUGUAACUCUUUAAUGGCCCAGUAAGCUUUAUGCUCCAGCUCCAUAGGUAGAUGACAGGCUUUCCCAUAAACAAGUCGGAAUGGUGACAUCCCAAUAGGAGUUUUAUAAGCUGUCAUGUAUGCCCACAAAGCAUCAUUUAGUUUGAAACUCCAAUCCUUGCGUGUAGAGCUCACUGUUUUCUCCAAAAUACGCUUUAUUUCUCUGUUUGAAACUUCAACUUGACCAGAUGUCUGUGGGUGGUAUGGUGUAGCCACGCGAUGAUUAAUCCCGUAUUUUGCCAGUAGGUUAGCAAAUGGUUUAUUAAUAAAAUGCUUCCCCCCAUCACUAAGAAUAACACGCGAAAUUCCAAAACGUGGAAAUAUAACCCCCUGGAGGAACUUCAGGACCACUGAUCCUUGAUUAGUUGGUGCUGCAAUGGCCUCGACCCAUUUUGAAACAUAUUCCACAGCCACUAAAAUAUAUUGGUGCCCAUUAGAAGAUGGGAAUGGUCCCAUGAAAUCAAUACCCCAAACAUCAAAUAGUUCAACAAUUAGGAUACUUUGCUGGGGCAUCUCAUUCCUUCUGGAUUGAUUGCCGACCCUUUGAUACCUAUCACAUGCCUUGCACCAAUUCUGUGAAUCUCUAAAAAGUGUUGGUCAAAAUAACCCACUCUGUAGGAUUUUCUCUGCUGUCUUUUUCGGCCCAAAAUGUCCUCCACAAGCGUAGUGAUGAGCAAACUUUAAAACACUUUCCUGUUCAAACUCCGGAAUACACCUGCGAAUAAUCUGGUCUGCACAAUACUUGUAUAAGUACGGUUCAUCCCAGAAAUAGUGCUUUACAUCAGAUAAAAACUUCUUUUUCUGCUAGUAGGAAAAAUCUGGAUGCACCACACCCUUAGCCAAAUAAUUGACAAUAUCUACAAACCAAGGUGUGUCAAUUAUGACAGCAAAUAGCUGUUCAUCUGGGAAACUUUCACUCAAUGGUAGAGAAUCUGCCUCUGUAGCUGCUGGAAUAAUUAAUCUAGAUAAAUGAUCAGCCACAACAUUCUCACUGCCCUUCUUGUCUUUAAUCUCUAAGUCAAAUUCUUGAAGUAAGAGAACCCAACGAAUCAAUCUAGGCUUUGCAUCCUUCUUAGACAACAAGUAUUUUAGUGCAGCAUGAUCUGUAUAGACAAUUAUUUUAGCCCCAACCAAAUAAGACCGAAAUUUCUCUAGUGCGAACACAACUGCCAACAAUUCCUUCUCUGUAGUUGCAUAGUUAAGCUGUGCAUUAUUUAGAGUACGACUUGCAUAAUAGAUGACAUGGGGAAGCUUAUCUUUUCGCUGCCCUAAAACUGCCCCGACAGCAUAAUCUGACGCAUCACACAUUAGUUCAAAUGGUAAAUCCCAAUUUGGUGCAGCAAUGAUGGGUGCCGAAGUUAGGAGUGCUUUCAACUUGUUGAAUGCUUCUAAACAGGCCUUAUCAAAAUUAAAUGGUGCAUCCUUAGCCAAUAAAGUGCAUAAGGGUCGACUAAUCUUGGAGAAAUCCUUGAUGAACCGACGAUAAAAACCUGCGUGUCCUAAGAAGGAUCUCACACCUUUUACUGAUGUAGGAGGUGGCAACUUUGCAAUAACUUCAAUCUUUGCUUUGUCAACCUCAAUGCUUUUGCUAGAAAUUGAAUGACCCAAGACAAUUCCCUGUUCAACCAUGAAAUGACACUUUUCCCAGUUUAGCACUAAAUUCGUCGCUUGACAUCUCUGAAGAACUAAUGAUAAAUUCUGUAAGCACUGAUCAUAUGAAUCCCCAAAAACAGAAAAAUCAUCCAUAAAAACUUCCACAAUAUUUUCGACCAAGCCAGAAAAAAUACUCAUCAUACAACGUUGAAACGUAGCAGGUGCAUUGCAUAAUCCUAAUGGCAUCCUCCGAUAAGCAUAAGUACCGAAUGGACAAGUGAAAGUAGUCUUCUCUUGAUCCUCUGGUGCGAUUGGAAUCUGAUUAUACCCAGAAUACCCAUCAAGAAAACAGUAAAAAGCCCGCCCAGCCAACCUUUCUAACAUCUGGUCAAUAAAAGGCAAUGGAAAAUGGUCUUUUCUUGUCCCUGUGUUAAGCUUCCGGUAAUCUACACACAUUCUCCAACCCGUAGUCAAUCGUGUAGGAACUAACUUAUUAUUAUCAUUUUUCACCACUGUAAUACCGGUUCGUUUAGGCACAACUUGAGUCGGGCUAACCCAUUUACUGUUAGAAAUAGGAUAAAUCAUACCUGCAUCAAGUAAUUUCAUAACCUCUGUUCUGACCACCUUUUUCAUAAUUGGGUUAAGGCGGCGUUGAGCAUCAACUGUUGGCUUUACGUCGUCUUCCAUUAAUAUUCUGUGCAUACAUAGUGCUGGGCUGAUUCCCUUGAUGUCCGCAAUUGUCCAUCCCAAUGCAUCUUGAUAUUUUCUCAACACACGAAGCAAUUUAUCCUCCUCUGCCGGUGUUAAAUCUGCUGCAAUUAUAACUGGCAGCGUCUCUGCAGCUCCUAAAUAUGCAUAUUUAAGAUGUUGUGGCAAAGGCUUCAGCUCCAAUUUUGGCGGCUGUUGUCUGGAUGGUUUAAGGGGCUGUUUGGGCUCCCCUAAACUCUCAUACACAUUCCUAAAUUUUGGCAACACUGUGGGCAGACUGUUCAAUGCGUGUAUGUACUCAUGAACACCUUCAUCUUCAGAAUCUGUCUCAAAUGCCCCCUGUAAAACAUGCAGCAACUGAUCUGUUUUUGAAUUAGCAUAAAAUCUGUCCUGCACCAUACUGUCUACCAUGUCAAUACGCAUACAAUCUAGCUGUUCAGCAGGACGUUUUGCUGCCUCAAACAAAUUAAACACCACAGAUUGGUCCUGAACCCGUAAAGUCAAUGUUCUAGCUUCCACAUCAAUUAAGGUCCUAGCUGUUACCAUAAACGGCCUCCCCAAAAUAAUAGGUGUUUGAAGGUCUUCAUCCAUGUCUAAAACCACAAAAUCUGCCGGUAGAUAAAGAUUAUCAACCUUAAUAAUUAGAUCUUCAAUAACACCUCUUGGAUAAGUGAUUGAACGGUCAGCUAGUUGAAGUAUAAUUGAUGUAGGCUUUAAAUCUCCUUGCCCCAAUAGCUGAAAAACAGAAAAAGGCAUCAAAUUAAUACUUGCACCCAAAUCAAUUAAAGCACUUUUAAAAUUAGAAUUUCCAAUAGUGCAAGAAAUAUUAAAACUCCCUGGAUCUUUUUUCUUAGGUGGUAGUUUGUGUAGCAAAACUGCGCUGCACUGUUCUGUCAAAAUAACUUUGUCCAAAUCUGAAAGCUUCUUUUUGCUGCUGCAAACUUCCUUCAAAAAUUUGGCAUAUGAUGGAAUUUUCUUGAUUGCAUCCAGUAAGGGAAUGUUGAUUUGAACCUUGGAUAAUGUCUGCAUAAAGUCCUUGAGUUGCUGAUCUUUUGCUUUAGGCUUCAAAUGUUCUGGAUAUGGAAUUGGGGCCUCAUAAACACGCUCAGUAACUUGUUUUGGAACAGUUUCUAGAUCUGCUAAAUUCUGUUUUUCUGCAGGUUUGGCAGGUUCUGCUGCUGCAAAAUUUUCUGUAUUAUCUUCCACUAUUUGCUGCUCCUUUUCAAUGCUAUUUUCACGAUUGUCAUAGCUUUUUCCACAUCGUAAAGUCCGAACAACUUUGCAAUCUUCACGUCCAUUUGGAUUAGGAAUUGUUUGACUAGGAAAUUUGCCCUUUUCUCUGUCUGAAAUCUGUGUAGCUAGCUGUCCAAAUUGUUGCUCCAAACUUUUAAUUGAUGCUUCAACAUUUUGAAAUCUUUGAUUGUUGCCCUCGAUGAAUGAUUGAGUUGUUGCUGCCAGUUUAGCAAGUUGAUCUUCCAGAGAUGGUUUGGAGGGAACAAAAGGUUUUUGUGCAUGCUGGAAUGGUUUGGCAUUAGUCUGAUUGUCACCCCAUUUGAAAUUAGGGUGAUCCCUCCAUCCAAGAUUGUAAUGAGUUUCAUAUGCAUCAUUCCUAGGCCUUUGAUAGCUUUUCAUCAUAUUGACAUGUUGUUCAACAAGCUCUGGAUAAGAGUCUCUAUGUGGGCAGCCCAUUAUGUCAUGUGUAGCCAUACUGCAUAUAGUGCAAACUGUUGAUGUAGGUGGCUGCUGUGUAGAACUUGCUAUAUGUUGUAGAAGCAUAUCAAACUUUGCAUCAAUUUUCUUAUCCAUUUUUUCCAUUUGUGCAGACAUGUUGGGAGAACCUACUGAUAACUCAAAAAUGCCCCUUUUCUGUGAAUGUUCUGCUGCCCAUUGCUGAGAUUCUGUAGCCAUCAUAUCAAACAGUUCAAAUGCCUCCCUUGCAGAUUUAUUUGACAAUGAUCCUCCAGCUGAUGCAUUCACAUGGCUCUUAGAUGUAGGAUUAAGCCCAUCAAAGAAAAUAUUCAUUUGUGUAUCUGAAUCAAUUUUAACAUGUGGACACUUUAUGUACAUCUCUGUAUAUCUCUCCCACGCUUCAUGAAACUCUUCAUUGGGCUUCUGUGUGAAUGUCAAAAUCUCUCUCUUCUAAUUCAAUGUCUUGGAUGCUGGAUAAUAUUUGUUCAGGAAUUUUGUGUGUAACUGCUGCCAAGUAGUAAUGUUAUUAGCUGGUAGAGUGAAUAACCAAUUUUCUGCCUUGUCCUUCAAAGUGAAAGGGAAAAGACGUAACUUAAUAGCCUCAGCAGAAAAACUCCUAAUCAAAAUAUUCUUGCAACCCACAAUAAAUUUUGCAAUAUGUAUGUUUGCAUCUUCAUUAGGCAACCCCCGAAAAGUAGGUAGAAUUUCAAGCAUAUGGUGCCUGAUCUCGAACGAAUCACCCUCUUCUUGUUCAGGAUACACAAUGCAAUUGGGAACAUCAGUGGCACGGGCUUCCAAUGACUCCCUGAGUGGUCUACCUGCCGCAGGUAAUUCUAACGCCAUGUUACUCUCGUUUGCAAACAGAUUCUGCAAAAAAGUGCCCUGCAGUGAACAGUCCCAAGCCCAAGUAACUUCUCUCCGCUGUCUAUGCAGUGUGCUCUUUGGUUCUGGAUCAAAUUGUACAAUCUAUGCAGUUUUUGAUCUGGUUUGGACCAUGCAGUUUGUAAAAUCUGCAACAGAAACAAAAUUGUUCAAUUUCAAUUUUUUUUGUUUUUUUUUUGGACGAAAAUUAAAAAUAAAAUAAAAUAAAAUAAAUCAGAAAAAGGUUAAACAAAAAUUGUCUAAAAUAGUCCCCGGCAGCGGCGCCAAUUUCUUGAUAAGAUUUUUGUUACUUGUGCAAACAGAGUUAAAAUCACAUAAAAUACUUGCAAGAAUACAAGGCUACUGUAGUAUAGAUGCUCAUGCAAGGUCGUUUUCUUCAAGGACUAAUUAGCAAUUUAUGUAAAAACAAAUUCCAAAUAACUACUUAAAAUAAAAGGUCAAGAAAGAUGAUUAUGAAUUUGGUUGAUUCUAAAAACAAAUACAAUUGAAGGAAAGAGUUUUGAAUAUCAAUUUAUAAAAGCACUAGGGUUUCACCAUCACCUAGCAAUCUUAUGAACUUUUACCAAUUACUUAUGAUUUGCAAACAUGCCACUUUGAAGGUUAGGUUUUCCUAAUUUAUAUUCUACUUGGAACCUCCAACACAGAACGUAUAUCUAACAUGCAACCCGUCCGGACGUUCGGAUCAAAUCUGAACAUGAAAGAUUCAUUAAGUUUUGUGAAAACCCUUUGAAAAACCAUGCAACCCUUAAGACGUGGUAUUUAUCUGAAGUGAAAUUACAAUUAUUAAUCACAAGAAGCUAGCAUCAAUUUCAGGGAACCUUCCGACCAAAAUUGCAUCCAAUUACUUUUCUAAAGAUCCUAAUGGUGAUCAGGCAUUAAGACAAUUAGAUAGUUUAUAACAGUGAUUAACAAUUCAAGUAGGCAUGCACUCAUCAUAAGCAAUUAAAUGAAAAUCACAUAUUCAUGCUAAGGUUCAAGGCUUCACCCUAGCAAAAGAAAUUUAGUUACGCAUACUCAUAAUUGAAAUCCAAGAAAAUAUCAUUAAGAAGAAAAGAACGAAAACACCUGAAAGUUGUGAAAACUCAAAACCCUAGCAAUUGCUCUCCACAAAUACAAAGUUCCAAAGUGAAAAAGGGCGUCCCUAAUUCCUUGUGAGAAAGAGCUUAAAUACCCCUUAAAACCUAGCUGCCAAUGUACAGCUUUUCUAUCCCCACAAGGAAACUAAUUAAAUAAAAUAAUACUAGGAAAUAAAGUCCAAAUUGGAAUAGGAGCCAUGUUUUGGCCCCAAAUCUCCUCCAAAUCUGGCCCAAGAUAGCUUAUUUUAAAGAUAAAAAUGUUCUGAACACUUCUCUAGAAGGCCACGAACCCAUCCGAGGUCAUCUUGGGCUCCAAAAACGCAGUAACAGCCCAACACGUCACUAUUCCAGCACCGCGCACUGCUCCUUUAUUUUGUUGCCAGAAAAUAACCACUUGGAAGAAAAAUCUGAAAUUUUGGUACGAUCAAGCUAAGUGACACAAGAAAGUCCUCCAACUGGAAUUACUCCAAAAUUCCUCAAUUUGAUUAUGUUUUGCUCUAGAGAGAGUCGAAAGUCCUAUAUUGGAAAUAUAAUUCAAAGUAUCAAAAUUCUUCCAAUAUAUUAACCAAAAUAUACUAAGAAUGAGGUUAAAUAUAUAAUAUAAAAUAUGUCUAUCACGUGUCCUACACUUGGCAGAUGUUGGGCAUAAAUGUCCAGAAUACCCCUCUUGCCCUGAACCGCAAAACGAAAAACACAUUUAAGGGUUUAACUUCUGUCAAAAAACCGGCAAAGUUUCCCUUGAAAAACAGACAUUUCCCAAUCAAUUUUCCACUUGUAAAAAUAUACAGUUAAAAUUGAAAUUCAAAUCCCAGUCAUUCAGCAUGCAUUAGACAAAUAACUUUAAAAAGUUUUAGACCUCUUUAUACCAAAUAAGUCAUUCUGCCAUCUGAAGAGCUCUGAAACUUUUUAAAGUUAUGUGUCUAAUGUAUGCUGAACGACUGGGAUUUGAAUUUCAAUUUUAACUGUAUAUUUUUACAGGUGGAAAUUUUUUGGGAAGAAUCCGUUUUUCAGGGGAAACUCCGCCAGUUUUCGGGCAGAAGUUAAACCCAUAAGUGUGUUUUUCGUUUUGCGAUUCAGGGCAAGAGGGGUGUUUUUGACAUUUAUGCCUGACACUUGCCAGUGUAGGACACGCAUAGGGUUCGACAUAGAUUCCAAAGUAGAAUUUGAGUCGGGUCCUGUCAUGCGCAUGCACAUGAGAAUGGUGGGAUCACGAAUUGAUGAAUGAUAAUUUUUAAUUUUGGAGUAGCUACUUAAAUCUUCAAUGGGUUGUGUUGAUUGGAAUCAUGUUGUAUUAUUAAAUGUCCACAAUAUCAUUGGGCAAAAAUGGAAAGAGGCAAUUCCAUUACAGAUGAGAAUGAACGUGAAAGAACAAACCGAUAGUACGAACCCCAAAGAGAUGUUAACCCUGAAAGUUACGCAUGAGUGUUAGACUAAAACGUUAGAGGAAUAUACUCACUUUGUAUGACACAAUGUUUCUGGUAGAAACAAAUGCAAUCGUGCCUUCUUAUUGCAUAUUUACGGAGACCAACAUGUUAUCUUUAAGGGUUAUUAAAUGCAUGGAGCAUAUCAUCAGAAGCGAUUCCCUAAAGAUGUAUAAAUAGUUGGGUUAAAGCUAUAUAAUGUGUCAUAAAAUGUGAUCCCUUCAAUCCCUGAAGGAUUGAAAUUGCAUGAAGCAAGUCCUUAAAGGACAUGAGCCUGAAACACAAAUUUUGUACUCAAUACUAAUAUGUAUAAAUUGCCUCAGUGAGUAAACUAGUUAUGAUUAUGAUAUGGUUGCAACACAUUACAACUCUUGAAGAGUUGAUAAUUGAUCAAAACUCCUAAAGAAUUAAUACUUGGUCAAACCUCUUAAAGAGUUCAAGAAAUAUUUGUCUUGGCCCGAAGAUCGAGCAUUAUGCCAACAAGAUUCUUGCUUAUACUAAGAAAGUAUUGAAGCAUUUUUAUAUGGAUUAUCCCUUAAGCACUUAAAUGAUUUUCCGGAAGUAUAUUGGACCGGACAUUAUAUUUUCCAGAUAGAGCUCAGCUCCAUCACCACCACUUUAGGAUGAUGUGAGACAUAUUUGAUGCUAUCUCCGCAUAAAACCAUAUAUGGGCAUAUUCUUUUCAAGUGAACUUACAAAUAGCCCAGGUUUUGUUUGAUUUGCGGACUUUGGAAAUUUCUAUGAUUUACAUAGAGAUAGCUCACUGAAAAUAUAUUUGCUUACUCAACUACAUAAAUUGUUGAUGGCUACAUCAUUCACUCAGUUCGAAAGAUCUUCCCUCUAGAAAGAUAGUCAUGAAGAUAUUAGGGGGAUAUAUUCUUCAGGGGGAGCAUCCAACAAUAUUACAAGAUUGACUCACAGAAGCAGUGUCAACUAUGACAUAGAGGUGUCAAACAGGUCGUGCCAGGCCGGCCCAUCCCAUUUAAACUCAUGCUUUUAACAUUUUCGUGUCGGGCCGGGCCGACCCAUUUAAUUUAUCGGGCUGUGUCGUGUCGGCUCAUUUAGUAAAAUCAUUGAUCCCGGCCCGGCCCAAAGCCCAUGUUCAUAUUGAAAUGGGCCGGGCCGGGCUCGUGCCGUGCCUGUGCUCGUGCUCGUGCCAUAUUGGGGCCCAAGAACCAAUCCAUUUAAUUUGAAUUUUUUUCGCUUGAUUUUUUUUUCCACUACAUAAUUCAAAUUGUAAACAUUAAAAAUAUAAUUAGAGGCAAGAAAUGAUGAACUAUUUGAAAACAUUAAUCAAUCAAAAAUCCAAACAAUAUGAAUUAACGGAGGGCAAAAAGUGUCCAACUCCACAAAGUCCACUUCAACUUUUCAUCUUUAAACAACUUAUUAUUUUAUAUUGAAAAAAUGUCUUAUUUUGAUUAUAAGAGAAGCGUAUAUGUCAUAUGUACUGAUUAGAUAUCAAGUCCAAUGUUGUUUAAUUAAUUUGUAGUUGAUAUGUUUAAUUAAUUAAGGACCCAAGUAAUUUCCUUAAAAUGAAAGACAUCAAAUAUAUGUUUAUAAUUAAAAAAAAAAACUUAUAAACAAUGACAUUAGAUGUCAAAUUAUUGCAUUUUGACUUUUGAGAAAGGAAAAAAAUGUUAAGUGGGCCGUGCUUGGGCUCGUGCCGUGCUCGAAGCAGGCUUGGGCCAAGCCCGGCCAGUGUCGGGUCAUGGGCCGGCCCGGUCCAUUGGACCUCAUUUUUUGAUCCCAGCUCGGCCCAAGUUUUCGUGCCGUGCCGAGCACGACCCAUUAAUAUUCGUGCUCAUGCCGUAUCGUGCCUCAUCAAAUUUGCCUAUAAAUAGACUUCUCAUUGUUUAGCAAAACACACCAACGGAGAAGAGAGGAAAGAAAGGAAGAGAAGAAAAGAAGAGUAAGAGGAAAGAAGAGAUAGUGUGAAAUCUGAGUGUUAGUGAGUUCUAUAUGAGAGAAUUCUGUCAGUGUAAACACCAGAAGAGAAAACAUAGUUCUACUCCCAAUAUUCUGUGGUACUUUUCAUACUCUAAUUAUUUUAUUUUUAGGCUUAUUUACUGUAGUGCCCCCUGAAACUUCGUUCAAAUCUCACUUACCACCACAAAGUUAAAGUGGUCCACUUAACCCCCUUGACUAUGAUUUCGUGUUCCAUUUUACCCCAUACCGUUAUCUCCAUUAAUAAUUCUGUCAAUUUUGAUGACCUGUCAUGGCUAUUUUAGUCUUUUUACCACAAAUGAUGAUGUGUCAUGUGAAUGUCCCCCCUUUUUUGUUUAAAUUGAAUUGAAUAUAAAAUAAAAUAAUAAAAUGAUGUAAUUACUUGUGUAACUAAAAAUAUAUAUAAGAGAAGAGAACCUCGGCAAUGUGGCCCUAGAAGAAGGUCAUGUGCAUCAUGAUCUUGCGGCGGCUCGUGGGCAUGAACCCAGCACUGCCGUUAAACGAUGUUGAUGGGGGCGGCGGAGAUGGGAUGUUGUGAUGUGAAGCAGCCAUUUUGUUAGUUUAUAGCAGAGUUUUGAUUGGGUAAUUGUAAUGGCGAGCCUAAUAUUUUCGACAAUUUGUAUAUAGAUGUUGUAUAUGGCUGAUGGAUGAACAAUGGUAGAAGAUUAUGUUAUAUAUUAAAAUGUGGGCACAUGGCAGUUGGCGAAACAGGUGUAAGAGCAUUUCCAGCAAGGGGCCCAAGUUGAGGGUUGGGGGAGGGGGGAACCCAAAAUGGUGUUUUCAGCAACAAAGAUCUGCCAGGGCAAGGAUUGGGGCCCAGCCAACUGGGCUGGCCCGUGCUCCAGCCCGAGAGCAAGGGUGACGUCAGUGCUGGAGUUUAAAUUUUUUUAACGUUGGCGCCUGCAAAGCACGCGCCAACGUUAAAAAAAAUUUGACGGGCCCACUACAGUGCCCCCCAACGGCUCUCUUCCACGUGGCUGGCUUUUGGGCUCUCUGAUCCACUUUUUUCAGCAAUCCAACGGCAGCCAUUUUUUUCCCAAUAAAAAAAUGAAAAAAAAUCGAAACUACCCCCCAACAGCUCUCUUCCACGUGGCUCCUUCUGGGCUCUCCGAUCCCAUUUUUUCCAGCAAUCCAACGGCAGCCAAUUUUUUUCCAAAUAAAAAAUAAAAAAAAUCGAAAUUUUUUUAAAAAAAUACCCAAAAAAUACUGAAUUUUUUUUCUUUCUACAAAUACCAACCAAUACUCUUCAGUUUUAACACCAACUCCUCAUACAUUUUCUUCUCCUUAUACUAUUAUUCACUUUCUACUCAAUAUUUUUUCACUUUCAAGUUGUUUUUUUCUCUAUCAUAUUAUGGGUUCUUCUAGUGAAACCGGAGGGGCAUGGAGCAUGGUGGAAGAUGUUAGCUUGUGUGAGGCUUGGCUCCAAGUUAGUCAUUGUCCCGUAACGGGCAAUGAGAUGAAAUUCUGUCAUAUGUGGAAAAAAAUUCAUCAGGAAUUUUGUGAAAGGGUAAUUGGUUCGACUCGUAUGGAUCAGGCAUUAUCUAGGUGGAAAAUUCUUAAUAAAGAGUUGGCGAAAUGGAAAGAUGCCUUGGCAAAAGCGAUGGACAACUAUAGAAGCGGGGAAAACCUUAGCAGUGAGGUAAAUUAUUUGUAAUUUUUGUUUUAUUAAUUUCUAUGUCAUAUUAAAUUUUAUUUAAAUGUUUCUUGCAAUUUAUAUAUGUUGUUAAUAUUUCUUGUAUUUCCAAUAUUAAUAUGAAUGUUUCUUGCAAUAUUUGUAUUUUGUUUUGCAUUUCUAAUAAAUUGUUAAAGUUUCUUGCGUUUCCAUUAUUUUUUUUUAAUACUUGUUGCAUUGCCAAUAUUUUUUAAAGUUUCUUGUAUUGCCAUUUUUUUUUUUAAGAUUAUGCAAGCACAAAUAUUUUUUGGUGCGACUGGGCAAGGCAAAAAAAGUUUUAACCAUACCCUAUGUUGGGAGGUGGUGAAGAAUUGUAAGAUAUUCCAAAUUACUCCAGCAAGUCCAACGGUAGUCUUGAACGAGACGCCACUCCAUGAGACACCGGCAUCGGAUUCACCUAUGGAUUCUUCGAUGAGUCAAGACUCACCUAUCGAAAAGGAGCUGAGGCCUAUUGGGAGUAAAGCGGCGAAGGCGAAGAGAGGGAGUAAUUCUACCAAGAAUGCAUCUAAAUUUUUGGAGGAACUUUCAAAGAUGCAAGCCAUGAGAAUUGAAAUGGACAUGAAACAACAAGAGCACGAUAGGGCAAUUGAUAUAGAAUAUGCAAAAGAAAGGGAGUAUGUACACCAAGAAAAGAUUGAAAAAAAGGAUCGGGAAACCAUGGCCAUGGAUACAAGCCAUAUGUCCCCUGAAACAAAACAAUUUUGGAAGCUAGAACGAAGGGAUGUUAUGAGACGAAGACUUUUUCGUGACGAUGGACCUAGCAACACGGAUUGGUUAAAUGAUCAAAACCAUUAAGUUAGGGCUUGCCUUUCAUUUCAUUGUACCAUUAAGUUAGUUUGUUUGCCUUUCAUUUCAUUGUAUUUUUUGUUUUGUUUAAAAAAUUAGUGGUAAUUCAUGUAUUUUAUUUUAUGAGUUGUAUUGAUUUUCUUUUAGUGAAUAAAGAAAAUAUUCAACAAAAUUCCUUUUUAUUCAAAACAUUCCAUACAUAAAAAGCAAACCACAACCAAAGCAUAAAAAAUAAACAAACCACAACUAAAGCAUAAAAAAAUAACAAAGCAUAACUAAAAAUACAACAUAAACAUAAUACAUUAAAAAAACAUCUUCACUUCACUUCAUUCACCUUCAUUGCCUUUCACCGCCCACAAAUGCUCCAUCAAGUCAACUUGACGGUGUUCAUGAAUAUACGACGAUUGUAUCUCCGUGUAGCGCUCAACCAACUCAUCUUCCACAAUAAUGUUGUGGAGGAUGAUACAAGUCAUCAUUAUACUCAUAAGCACCUCCUCGUCAAAUAGACGCGCCGCACCCCUGAUAAUAGCCCACCGGACUUGAAGGAUACCAAAGCACCUCUCCACAUCUUUUCUGUACCCCUCUUGAUAGGCAGCAAAAAAAAUUUCCUUAUGGGAUCGGGGAUGUGGAAUUGAUUUCACAAAUGUAGUCCACCUCGGGUAGAUACCAUCAGCUAGAUAAUACCUGUUCUGGUAGACGGUAUUAUUGAUUUGAUAUGUGAUAUUUGGGCCUUCACCUCUAAGAACAUCAUUGAACACCGGGGAUUGACCCAGGACGUUCAAAUCGUUUUGAGAGCUGGCAACUCCAAAGAAGGUGUGCCAAACUCAUGUAUCAAAACCAGCAACUGCUUCGAGGAUGAUGCUUUUCUGCCCUUUCCAAUUGCCAUAAUCCCCUUGCCAAGCAGUUGGACAAUUUUUUUCAUUGCCAGUGCAUGCAGUCAAUGCUACCAAUCAUUCCAGGAAAUCCACGAGACUCAGCUUUUUGUAGAAGCCGUUGCAGGUCCUUGGGCGUAGGUUUGCGCAGGUAGUCCCUAGUGUACAGAGUUUCUACUGCAUCACAAAAUCGCACCAAGCUCUCCAAAAUAGUGGACUUCCCCAACCGGGCAAUCUCAUCCACCUGAUCAGCAGAUGACCCAUACGCCAACAUUCGUAUCACAGCUGUGAACUUUUGCUCGGGAAGAAGCCCCAAAUUUCCAGCACAAUUUUUCUUUUGAACAAAGUAUUCAUCAUAAUUACAAAUAUCAUGCAUGACUUUAUUGAACAAAUGAGGUUGCAUUCUAUAUCUCGCUCGAAAAUGAAUAUUAAAGUACAGAGAAUUUGGGAUAAAAUAAUCUUCCAAAAGAUUCUUACCCCGAGAAUGUCUAUGUCUGUCCACAUUCUAGGCACGGCCUUCUCGUGAACCACGGUGGCUCUGGUUUUCUUCCUCCAGCAAAGCAACGGCCAUGCCAAGUUGCUCAUCUAGUUCUCUCUGCGCCCUUUUGCUUACAGCUCGUCGACGCAUUCUUUCUCUCAUUUCUCGCUCUUGCCUUUUCAAAACCUCUUGCAUGUCUGCCAUUGAAAAUGAAGAAUGAUAUCUAAAAUCUGAGAAAUGGAAAUGUAGAGAAGAUCUGGUGUGGGAGGUAUGAGCUGAGCCUCUGGUUUUAUAGAAAAAUUUAGACAUAUAGAUAUGACACGUGGUGCAAUCUUAGAGGGUGAAAAUCUUAUCUGAAAUUUGAAAUUUGAAACCGAAAAUCUUAUCCGAUAUGAAUAGUAUUGACACGUAGGAACCCAAAAAUCUUAUCCGAAAAUAUUAUCUAAAUUAAUUGUUUAAGUAAACAAAGUUGUGAAAAAAACAAAAAAAUGAAUAGUAUUUGCCAUGGCAAGCCUAAACUGCUGAAAACACACUUUGCUGGGGGGGCUAGGGCAGCAACUAUUCACGUGAAUAGUAGUUGCCCUCCCCUUGCCAUGGCAAGAGGCUAACUGGUGGAAAUGCUCUAAGGCAAGGGUUUAUAGACCGACGAAACAGGGAACAUAAUGAGAAUUUCUCUCGUUUUGGACUUCUAGUAUUUCAUUUUAAACAGAAUGAGAAUGUGUGGUCUAGGUUACUUAAGAUUUGAUGCCAUAACAAGCCAACCGAAUUGUAUGGCUGGUGGGGGUAUGGGUGGUUAUGGAUGAUGGUGUGGUGGUUGGUUGCCGAGAGAGGAGAAAGGAGGAAGGAUGAUGCUAUUCUUUGGGGAUAUGGAUUUAUCUUUGGGAAGAGUUGGAUCUGGGUAGGAUUAAAGCAUAGAGAAGAAAGAUUUUUAUUUAUUAAUUUUUUCCAUUUUUAAAAAUAUAAUUUUUUUAUUAAACAAGUAAUGAUAAUUAUAUUAUAUUAUAUUUUAGAUUUAAUUCAAUUUAAACAAAAAAGUGGGUCAUUCACAUGAUACAUCAUCACUUGUAGUAAAAGUCUGGAGGUAUUCAAUUUAGACUUUUAAAGAGUAUAUAAAAGUUUAGUGGUAUUCAGUUAUAACUUUUAAAAAGUAUUUAAAAGUUUGGUGGUAUCCAAAAAGUUAAUGACUUUUAAAAAACUUAUUAAAUGAAUGACUUUUCCAUACUUUUAAUGCUAAUUGUUAAGAGCAAAAGUCUUGCCAAUUUACUAGUGACUUUUAUAAACUCUAUGAAAGUAUUAAGAAUUUGUUAUCUCUAUGAAAGUCACUCACUUAAAAAAAGUCUUUAUAAGUAUGAAUUGGAUACACCCUCUAAAAUAGCCAUGCCACAUCAUCAAAAUUGACAGAAUUAUUAACGGAGAUAACGGUGGGAGUUAAAAUGGAACACAAAAUCACGGUUAGGGGUUAAGUGGGCCAUUUUAACUUUAAGAGAGUAAAGUGAGAUUUGACCAAAAUUUUAGGGCACUACAAUAAAUAAGUCUUAUUUUUAUUACAAAAAUUGUGUUUUUAUUUUUCUUCUCAAAGAUAUGACAGGUGGGCUUUCUAUUUGUAUUUGAUUCUUCAAGUUGGUUCUGACCAUGUUCGUCCGCAAUAAGAUCACAUCACAGAAGAAAGAUGCUGUCUCUAUCUGGCUUGGCUUGGGAUCCUCGAGUCAUUGACUUUAGUCUUUAACCCAACACAAAACGUUCCAUUUCUUGCUAUUCAGCUUGAGUUUAGUGUAUUCUAGUUUCUGGGUUUGGAUAUUUUGGCUUCUUAUUUGUGUUUCAAUCUCAAGUCAGUCAGAUGAUGCAUACAUAAGAGAGAAAGAGAAGUCUAAGACUAAGAUGGAUGAAGGAAAUCAUAGCGCCAGCAACUUGCCAUUACGAACGGAAAGUGGUGUUGACAUUGAGAAUUUGGAUUUAUUGGAUGGAAAGGAGAGGGAGAACAGGACGACAUACGGCGAACCACUUCUGACUAAGAGGAAAAAUACAACCUCCCAGAUUGCCAUUGUGGGUUCCAAUGUCUGUCCCAUUGAGAGCCUUGACUACGAGUAAGCUUCUCUUCCUCACCUAAGAAUAGUUGUCAAACCGUUGUUCAAAAUGGGCCUUUACAUCUUUUAUUUUUUUGGAUCCUCCUCCCUCUAUGACUGGUUUGAAUCUGGGUUUGGUGUGAGUUACUGACUAAAUGUUAUGCCAUAAUAGGAGGAGACAUAACUUGUUUAUCCCAAAAAGGAAAAAGGGUCUGUUUCCUAGAUUAUUUCGGCAGGGUUUUCUUAUCUUGAUAGCUCCUUUUUUUCUUUUUUUUGGUUAAUUGUUUUAAUGGUUAUGGCCUAGGAAGAUUCCAUCUUUGAUUUGUUUUUGGUGGUCUUGACUCCUGAGGACAUGAAAAAGGAUAAAUGUGCUAGGACCACGCUAGCUACUUUCGGAUCUUUAGUUUAUGAUCACUAGAUUUGUUGUACUUCAGUAAUUAUGUCUUUAGAAUCACCUUCCCCAAGGGUUUUGAACUUUAAAUUCUGAUGAUUUCUUUACUGAAUGUUUUGCACGAAGGAAAUUGGCGACUUUUAUCGGUUAGAUGGUAAAAUGUCAACCUCAUUUAAAGAGGUUAAUUCAGGUGGAACAAUGGUCCUCUUAACAGGUCUACAAUAAGCUUUAGCUAGCUACUUUUCAUAUCAUUUCAAGGUUGGUCAAGGGGAUGAUAACUUUCUAGUUCAUGGGAUCCCUGGCCCAUGGCUCAUGCUAACUUUAUUGUGGUGUUAACACAAAUUUCAUCCAAGACCAGGGUGGAUGCUAGAUGUAAAUUUCAGUUUUCUGGUUAGAGGCAUAAUUGCCAACUGAGGGAAUCAGGGAACUUUUUUUUGUUCUCCUUUGAGAUUAAAUGUAGAUCCUUCUAUUUUUAUUAGCAAUAUUCACAAUUGUGGCUUGCUAUGUAGUUUUACCUCAGUAAUCACAUAUAUUGCUCGCAUUUGCAUUAUAUCAUUUUCUUUCCUGUUCCUGUGGGAAUGCUCCUAAACAUCUUUAGUUCAUUUCUUAUGUGUUUAUGCAAUGUCCCGAUCUGAGUAACAUUUCGGGGUGAUAUAUGAUGCCUUGGGUGCUUAAAUUCUUUUUGGAAUCAUCUUACUCUUGUUCUGUAGGUGCUGUUUGCUGAGUGCUAAGAUAUCGUUUGUUUAAAUGCAUUGCAGAAUUUUUGAAAAUGAACUAUUUAGGCAAGACUGGAGGUCAGCUAAGAAGAUUCAAGUAUUUCAGUAUGUUGUGCUAAAGUGGGCUUUUGCACUUCUCAUUGGGCUUGUUACUGGACUAGUUGGCUUUUUCAAUAAUAUUGCAGUUGAGAAUAUAGCUGGAUUCAAGCUACUUUUGACUAGCGAUCUCAUGUCUGACGAAAAGUAAGCCUUGUUUCCACAACGUCAAUCUAUGAUAUUCUUUUUCUUUGACAUUUAGACCUGCUCUUUUUUAUUUAAAUCUUCAGUAUACAUUUUUCUGAGGAAACUGUGUAGUCUUUUAAUAUAAAUUAGUUGCUACAUUCUGUCGUACAAGCAUGAAGGUUGGCAAUGAAAAUGGGCUGUAAUAGCAUCUUUUAUCUGUACUGAUAGCUGACACAUACUCUACAUGCAGGAAAUAAUCCUGCUUAGCAGGAGCUGCAGAACCAAAAAAAAAAAAAAAAAAACCCUCCAUAUUUCCUUGCACUUUCACUAUGCUGAUCAUUCUGAUAGGUGAUUGUAAAUAGGAAAAUGAUACACCACUAACCUCAGAACAUGGAGGAUUGGGUGUAGCCUAAUAUUAAUUCUUGUAGUCUGCUUCAAAAGAAGUUUUUUAUAUGUAAUAAGACAAUGUAUUGAAUUCAUCCUUAAUGAUAUGGAAAUUCCUUGAGAAGCAUUGCACUUUUUUUGUUUUUGGGGGGUUGGGGAGGGGGGGGGGGGGGGCCCCGUGGGGGCGGAGGAGAGGAAGUUCUAGUUAUUAAAAUUAUAAUAAAAAAAGAUAUAUGAAUGAAUUCUUCUAUUUCUGACUUAUAGUCUCUUUUUUGUUCUUUGUUUAUCUCAAAAUUUCAGAAUGCAGAAAUUAUUUUUUUUGGAGCUUUUCUGUGUGGCUGAUUUGCUGCAGACAACUAUUUGUAGGCCAUGCUUUUUUGUUUUUUUUCUUUUCGUUUGGAAUAAAGAGAAAUAUAAUAUAGAGCUAUAGCAUGGUAGGAGCAUGGGGGAGAACACAGAGGGGCUGGAAUUUUGUUAACUGGUUCUUGAAUUGGUUAAGUGUGGGCAAAUAUAAGUGUCUAGGUUAUUUAACAUGUGUCAUUAGAUAAACAGUUAUCCACAACAAAUCUGCCUUUAUAUUAUUUGCAGCAGAGAAAAUCCAAAGCGAUAAAUUGGAAGAAGUUUCUGAUAGAAUGGACGUGUACCAUGUUUUGGAUUGAGUGAUCCAGGAUCAUGGUUCGUAAGGAUAUUAUUGUACUGUGGUAACUUUGCUUUUUGGUCAUGAUCACUAAAGUAAAUGCUUGUGCAACGCUUAUUUGAGUUUGCUGGAUGUGUUUAUAGAAUAAAUAAAUGUAACAGUAAAAUGGUUUCAGUGCAGAUAUUACAAGGCUUUUGCAGCAUAUGCUGCCAGCAAUGUAGGUUUAGCCACAGUAGCAGCAGCUCUUUGUGCAUUUAUUGCUCCUGCUGCGGCAGGUUCUGGUAUUCCUGAGGUGAAAGCUUAUUUGAACGGUGUGGAUGCGCAUUCAAUACUGGCUCCGAGCACUCUCUUUGUCAAGGUACAGAGGGAUUACCCUCCCCCCCUCCUCUUCCACUGCGUGUGUGCACACGUGCAUGUGCUUACAUUUGUAUAUAGGACAAAUAUAUGUGAGUUAUUAUGAAAGUGGAAAUAGUUCAAGUUUCAUGUUCUUUCCUCCUUUGCAUGUGAAAAGGAAAACGAAAAAGGAUAUGGAAAUGGAAGGAAAAAAGAAAGAAAAGAAGUUUAGGUUUGUCGGAGGAAGGGGAGAGAAAAUGCGGGAAGUGAGAAGAUGGCAGAGGGCAAGAUUAAGGCUAAAAUUUGAAGAACUUGUUUUUAAGGAAGAGAUAGUGUGGGGGCAAAAGGAAAAAGUGGAUUGGGAAAGAGACGUAAUGCCAAACUGUUUCGUGAAGUGGUAAAUGGGAGAAAGAGGGAAAUUUGAUAGGAAGGUUGGAACUGAGUGAUGGAUCUGUCACUGACAAUGAGAGGAGGAUUGAGGAAGAAAUAUUUAACUUUUUCAAGAGACUUUACUCAAAGGAAUGAGGGGAAAGGCGGAGUGUGGAAGGGUUGGAUUGGCACCCUAUUGAGGUGGAAAGGGCUAGAUGGUUAGAGACGCUGUGCUUCCAUCUAUUGUAUUAUUGUGCACCAAAUACAUUACCUUAUUACAAUAUAUGUCUCUCUUAUAUGUGUUAUUUGCUCUUUUGACAUAUUUUGCUCAAAAGGUAUUUUGCUUUUGUUUAUGUUGCACAUCCUCAAAAUUCUGAAUUGUCAGAGAUUACCUGAUUAAUUUUUUCUUUAAUAAACCUAAAUCUAAAUCUUUGAAUUUCUAUCUGAUGCAUAUCAUUUUGGGUUUAACAGAUUUUUGGUUCCAUUCUUGGUGUUUCUGCCGGAUUUGUGGUUGGUAAAGAAGGGCCUAUGGUACAUACAGGUGCUUGCAUAGCCUCUUUUCUUGGGCAGGGAGGCUCUCGCAAGUAUCAUCUAACUUGGUCAUGGCUAAGAUACUUCAAAAACGAUCGCGACCGACGAGACUUGAUCACAUGUGGUGCUGCUGCUGGUGUAGCUGCUGCAUUUCGUGCCCCAGUUGGUGGUGUUCUGUUUGCUCUUGAAGAGGCAGCUUCGUGGUACCUCUCUCUCUCUCUCUCUCUCUCUCUCUCUCUCUCUCUCUCUGUGAACACGGAGAGAAAAUUAGGUAAAGUUUUUUCAUUUGAAUGAAUAGGCAAAGCCGAAAUUCCCUUGCAAGAGACAUCUAUUUGUAUAGACAGUUAACUAAUAAAUUCCUACUAUGAUAAGACUCUAUCUUUCAACCUUAGGAAUUGACCAAGAAGUAUUUCUGUAUAUUUCUCAACAUAAUCGUACAAUGGCUCCCCAAUUGGUAAUAAAGCCACCAACGAAGUUACAACAGUAAUUUUUAACAAAUUCCCAAAUAAAACUUGACAUGUGGCUAACUGACUAACCAAAACUGUAAAACAGUUUUGCCCCAAUUCCUAUCACACUAUGAUGAGGAAAUAAUAGUAAUCAUAAAUCUACUAAAAUUUUAAUAAUAAAAACCAAGUAAACAAGUCUAGUUUCCAUAUUUUUGCCCACGUCAAAUUACUUCAGUUUGUUCCCAUCACAUUUUCUCUCUUUUCUAUUAUUUUGUAGUGUUUUACUGUCCAUGCUUCAGCAAGCUUGCUGGAAUUUGAUAUGUAACCAGGAAUUUAGACUGCUAAGUUAGUUGCUCAUAUAUGUUUCCUAUAUAAGUGGUUGAAGUGAUAUCCAUUCUGAACACACGAUGCAUUAAAGAACGUUAAGGGCUUAAAAAAUGAACUCGCAUAUUCCUUUUUCUGUCCCUGUGAAAACAGAGACGAUGGUUACAUUAUCAUGGGCAAUGUUGUGGAUUUUACCUGCAUAACUGGUAUGUUACGCAAAUUAUGUAGAAACUGUUAAUGUUUUUAUUCUUUCCACAAUUGUAUUAUAAAUUUAGGGUUACAGUUUUUUAAGAUAUAGAAAUUUGAAUGAAAUGGUAAGCACCCUGGUUAUGUAGGGAUUACCGUCCUGAGAGGCAACCCUUGUCUGGUGAAAUGGUAAACUAAGUAGAAGCAGACAGGUUUAAUUCUCCUGCACAGGCAAUUAUUACCAAAAGUUGAAGGGUAGGAUUGUAUUUAGAUCUCACUUUGAUCUUAUUUCCAAUUUUGUAUGAUAGAAAGAAAGAUAUCUUAGAAUAAUACUAAAUUCUUUACUCACCAGAAAUAUAAAUGAAACUCUUAGAAUCCUUGCUUGCAAGGUAUUCCCUUGAGAUUGCAAAAUGGUUUCAGUACCAUGAUUAUUGGUGCUUGGAAUGUGUAACACAUAGGUUCUGAGAAUACGUGUUGUCUUUACUGGAAAACUUCAGGUGGCGGAGUGCUCUUCUUUGGAGGACAUUUUUCACAACAGCAGUUGUCGCCAUAGUAUUGAGAGUCUUCAUACAAUAUUGUACUACCGGAAACUGUGGGCUAUUUGGGCAAGGAGGUCUUAUCAUGUAUGAUGUCAGUGCAGCCAGUGCAACAUACAGUGGUCCUGAUAUACUAGCAGUAUUAUUCCUAGGAAUUCUUGGAGGAAUUUUUGGAAGCAUAUAUAACUAUCUUGUGGAUAAGGUCAUUCGAACUUAUAGCAUCAUUCAUGAGUAUGUUCUCCUACACAAUUGUAACUUCUGGGAUUUUUCACUUGUAAAAUAAUCUCCUCUAAAUUUGUUGGUCAUGUGCUAAAAAUACUGAUCCCAUUCUUUCUAUCACGACUGAGAACAUGACCUUUUUUAGAUGCAGUGAUAAGGCAUCUGAGAUUUUGAUCAUAAUCAUUUGCUUAGUUGCGCUGGUUUUGUUGUUUUUAACCAAGUUCGCAUGUUUUCCUCCUAAAUUUAUCUGGCUUUUUUUUUGCUGCAGAAAGGGUGCUGCGGCCAAAAUCUUACUUGUUAUCACCAUUGCUCUCUUGACAUCAUGUCUUUCUUAUGGCUUACCAUGGUUUGCAGAGUGCCAAGCAUGCCCUACUGAUGAGAGUGUGAGUUGUCCUUCUGUUGGUCAAUCUGGUAACUAUAAAAGCUUCAAUUGCCCAUCAGGCUAUUACAAUGACCUUGCCUCCCUAUUUCUAAACACUAAUGAUGAUGCCAUUCGUAAUCUAUUCAGCACCAGUACAACAAAAGAAUUUCACAUUUCCUCUCUUUUCAUCUUCUUUGCCGCCGUUUACUUCCUUGGAAUUAUCACUUACGGCAUUGCUAUUCCCUCUGGGCUCUUCAUCCCUGUCAUAUUAGCUGGAGCUUGCUAUGGACGUCUUGUUGGGAGGUUGUUUGAAUCAAUCUCUACUCUUGACACAGGUCUCUUUGCCCUACUUGGAGCUGCCUCCUUCCUGGGUGGCACUAUGAGAAUGACAGUCUCCCUAUGUAUUAUACUGCUUGAACUCACCAAUGACUUACUUUUGCUUCCCCUCGUCAUGUUGGUUCUCCUUAUUUCGAAAACUGUAGCUGAUAACUUCAACAAGGGUAUUUAUGACCAAAUAGUUAAAAUAAAGGGAUUGCCUUAUUUGGAGGCUCAUGCAGAACCAUACAUGAGGCAUUUGGUCACAAGUGAUGUUGUUUCUGGUCCAUUGGUUACUUUUUCUGGUAUUGAGAAGGUAGGACGCAUAUUGGAUGCUUUGAGGACUACAGGGCAUAACGGAUUCCCAGUGAUUGAUGAACCACCUUUUUCAGACGCUCCAGAAUUGUGUGGUCUGGUUUUAAGGUCUCAUUUGCUUAUUUUGCUUAAGGGUAAGAUUUUUUCGACGGACAGGGUUGUUUGUGGAGCAGAGAUCUUACACAGAUUUGCUGCAUUUGAUUUCGCUAAGGCAGGAUCAGGAAAGGGAAUCAAAUUGGAGGAUCUUGAUAUCGAAGAGGAGGAGAUGGAUAUGUAUGUUGAUCUCCAUCCUAUUACAAAUGCAUCACCGUACACAGUGGUUGAGACAAUGUCACUAGCCAAAGCUGCUAUUCUCUUUCGGCAACUUGGUCUAAGACACCUGUGUUUGGUACCAAAGAGCCAAGGGGUAAGUUGUUCUCCCCUUCCCUUUCUCCUGCUCUCUUUCUUUCUGUGUAUGGUUAGUUCUAGCAUGUGAAUAAGGCUGCCAAUCUUGGUGGAAAUUUAAGCACUUUACCUUAUCCUGGAGAAGAAAUCUCAACAUUUCCUUUCCUCUUUUUUGUUUUUUUUUGUUUUGUUCUAGUUCAAGUUAAAUAGGCCAAUGUUUGCAUCUGCUUUGGUAUAUUUCUCUUUAUUUACUCUUGGAAACUCUAGAUGAUUUUGUCUUCGAUCUUCCUUACCUUAUAAAGUUGAAUAACAGUUCCAAACAAAUGUCCGAAACUAAUUUCUAAGCAACUUUCUGAUGUUUUUCUGUACACAUUGCAGAGACCUCCAAUUGUUGGAAUUCUAACACGGCAUGACUUCAUGCCGGAGCACAUUUUGGGACUCUACCCUCAUAUCAAGGCUCACUAGUAGACCUUAGAGCAUGUUUUUGUGCCGUCAUGUGAAGUCGUUGGUGUUCGGACUUCUGGAAGUGAGAUUUUCUAUGAAGACUUUAGAGCAUGUUGAAUGAUCAGGUUUUGUAUCAGCAAUUAUAAACAUCUGUAUCCAAUUCAUAUAAUAAACUGGAGGAUAAUGUUGAAAAGUAGAUGUCCUAAAACCCAAUUGUAUAUAUCAUUAGGGUAUAAUAUAUAUAGGCUUUUUAUCACAAAACGUCCCCGACGUUUGCGAAACUAUCAUAUUGCAUCCUUAAAAGUUUUUUUGUAUCUCUCAUGGUCCCUAACGUUAAUAUCGGUGCUCUUAAAUAGUCCAUCUGUCAAAAAAAUGUUAAAUCCAGGGAUAUAAUCAUCAAAUUAAUGCAAAACUUGUUGAACCCCUGCAAGGAAUGAAAUGAUGUUGUUAGCUUCUAGUAAGUGGUAUGAACAGUUGUUAUACUGUUUAUACUCUACAACUGAGUUGAUUUCUAUGACAUAGUAUUAACAGUGUACUUGUAUGACAUAGUAUUAAUAUAUUUUCAGUAACAAAGCAUGCUAUAUAUUUUGCUCUAUAUAUAGUUGCGCACUUGAAGUUUAUGAUAUGCAUAAUGUGAUUUUUACUAGGAAAAUAGUUCUAUGACAUAGUAUUAACAGUUUUUUUUCUUCUUAUAAAGGUAUUUCCUUUUGCCUUUGCGAUUGUUUCUGGUGAAACUGUGGACAAUUGGAGGUGAUUUUUGCAAAGGAUAUCGGAUGUCUUGCUUGAGUUUUUUGUAUGAAAUGGUAUUAACAAUGUUUUUCUAUGAAAUGAUAUUAACAUUGUACUUUUAUGACAUGAUAUUAACAAUGUAUUUUUAUGACAUGGUAUUAAUAAUGUACUUCUAUGACGUGGUAUUAAUAAUGUACUUCUAUGACAAGAUAUUAACAAUGUACUUCGGGUUUGUUGGGCUUUUUUUUUUUUUUUUGAGUUUUUUGUAUUGGGCUUGUUUUAAGUUAAUUAAUGGUAGAGAUGUAAUUUAUAGGGACUUCAACACUCAUUUUUUAGAUAGUAAAUGGUUUUUGAGUGUGUUUCUAAAGUGUAUUCCAUAUAGGGUUUUUUUUUAUAAUUUCAGGUCCUAUUUUUGGGUAUAUUGCUAAAGCUCCCAAAAAGAAAAGCCAGCGUGGUUUAGGUUUAAACUCCACAAAUAAUUUGAGGUGUUGUUAGACAAACCUUAAAAUUAAUGAGUACAUAUGAUCUAAGUACACCUUAAUAUUUAAAACAACUCAUAAAAUUAAUUAAGUACAUCCUAUUUAACUAUCAAAAAUACCCAUGGUAUACUCUAAUACACUCUAUCACACAACACCAAACCCAUUCGAGAGAUGACUGUGAUGAGUUCGAAUUCCAAGCAGCCACAGUUCAUUACAAGCACUGGAAACCGAAGCUUCUCAAAUGUCUGGCUGAUUGAGAACACACAUACAAAUCAAAUUGUUGUUCCUUAUGUGAGUUUGAUGUGCUAGUUGUCAUAUUUUAUGCAUUUUGUUUCAAACUUAGUAUAUUAUCAUUGUUUAUGCCAUUUACUGUGAACUAUGGCCGCAAAUGCAGAAUGGAAAGUGAAAGCAAUUACAACUCAUAACUAGACUAUGGAUGAAAUGAAACAUUUACUUCUUUGCAUAGCUUUAUAAGAAAUUCCAUGAUCUGUCCUAGAAUUUUUUUUGUGUACUGGUUUGUACCAUAUUUGGAAAAUGGACUAAAUUUGGUUUAUUUUUCAAAUGGAGUCACAUGAGGCCCAACCCAGUUCCUUUCUUUCAAAAUUAACAAAAAAAAGGGUUUUUUCGUAUUUGGGCCACAAAUUGGUGAAAUCCCCUCAAAAGCCCUAGCUUUAACCCACAUUAAAGUUAGGAAAAUAAGUAACGUUACUAGUUGACCCACGUGACUUUCUAAAGACGGGUUUUUUGCCAUUAAGAAUGACUUGAUCACCAUCUCUCUCAGCAAGAAAGGCUGGCUAAUUGACACCAAAACCAAGAGGAACCAUCUUCCGACUGGUUUUCCAGGUGCGAAUGGAUGACAAAUCAAAGGGGUAUUCCUUGAAACCAUUGUUUCCAUCUAAGAUAUCCUUUCUCCUACCCAUGGACCGACUCACGAGGGAAAAUACGUAGGUGACUUUGGACAACACUCAAGUGUUAUCUUCCAGCCUUCACUACCAUUGUUAAAGAUUUUCCACCUAUAAAUACAGAGGCUUAACAGCAACACUCGAGGACUCUCUCCAAAAUCAGACGCAACGUCUUGUAAACACUUGAACAAAACUUCAAGAUCUUUAAAUAGCCAACUUGCUGCCCAUAUAACCAGUUGACAACUCAUGCGUUUAUCUUUUAUUACUCUGCCAUCUCCAUGGUAUGAUUCUUGUUUAAAUAGUCAGUCUAGUUUCCUUCUAAACAGCUAAAACCUUUACAUAUUGGAUAAGAGAAAUCUCCAAUCUCUUCAAUAUUGUAACUUGUUCUUUAAAAACAGCUAAAUGGAGAAAUCUUUGGCUUUCGUUUUAACUUGUUAUCAUGCCGGAGCUGGAUCGAGAAAUCUCCAGCUUCUGGAAUUUUAUUAUCUCUGCAAUCUACCUUAAUCAUACUUUAUAUUCUUGCCAAUUAUCAUUUUUGUAUCUUACUUUGCAAUAGUUUACUUUCCUGCAUUUUUAUAUUUGAAUCUUUUGAAUAAGGCUUCAUUAGCCAAAAAACAAGGGUUGGUCCAGGCCCAAAUCAUACAAUUGGGCCCGAAUUAACCAAAUCCUAACCCAAUCCAGGGUUAUUUUGAGCACAAUUAAGGAGCAUUGACCUCAUCAUUGGUUUUUCUGUUUGGCUAGUGUUAGGGUCUCUUUGUUCAGAGCUACAAUGGGCUUGUUGGACUACUGCGAAGUAGAUCGAGCUCUUUUGCGCCCUUGUCUGAGUUUGCGGCACUAAGCCUCAAAACACCCCGAAAGAGUUAAGAUAUUAGGGAGUGCUUUGGUCUUCUUCAACGGCUCUUCAGUACAUUGAAAGUUUUGAUGAGAAGGAUACAUCAGCUACUGUAAAGCUAUUGCUUGAUGAUAGAGAUGUAGUAGACGUUAGAAGGGGUGUUCCAACAACUUGUUUGAUUGGGCUUCCGGCAGCUUGACGAAUGCUUGGUUACACCUUUGGAUUUCUCACCAAAAAGGUGAUGCCCAUGAUUUCAACUUGGCUUCAGAAGAUAAGUGUUUCAGAUCUGGAAUACAGUUUUUGGAGAGAGAGAUAUAUAUAUAUGUAUAUAUAUAAUGAGAAGAUGGAAGAACUAGAGCUUGAAUUUGGUGCUUCCAGCAGUAGAAGAGUAUGCUUGCCCCUCUGCUUGAGUUCAAGAACUAGGCCCCAAGAGUGCUUCGAAAAGCUCGUUGAGCCUUAGGAAGCACUUUGGUUCCUCUCACCAACAAGAUGGACAAUUAUUACAGAUCAAUAUUAUGGCUUGGCAUGAGAAGCUUGUGGCAUGGGAGAUGAGCCUUCAUGAGUUUAGCAUUAGAGAGAGAGAGAGAGAGAGAGAGAGAGAGAGAGAGAGAGAGAGAGAGAGAGAGAGAGAGAGAGAGAGGAGAAAUAAUGGGUGUGUUGAGUAGUUUCCGGUAGCUUGACGAAAACUCUGUCAAGUAACAGAACAGUUUGCCAAGAGGGAAAGAUAAGGGGAGAAGGAUGAACAUAGCACAAAAUUGCUGGGUUUUGGAAGCAAGAGAGGAAGCUUGCUCUCUGGAUGUGGAUCGAGUGAAUUUUCAGUUGCUUGACGAAGCUUGAUCGCACUAUGGAUGAUGAUUUUUGCUGGGUAGAGGAAGCACCCUUUUAUAGGCACUUAGAACCCUAAUUCUAUCGAUCUUCCAUUCCCACUUUUCCUUUGCUUCUUUCCAUUCACACCCUUUUUGUGAAAUUUCUUUAACUAGAGCGCAUGGGUCAUAGGCUCUUUGGGGUUCCAAGGUUUUUGUGAGGCUGGACCUCCCCCAUGGUGGUGAGGCGACACCUGCUUUCUCCCUUGGUUUUCAAAAUAGAGCUUACAGAGGAAAAGAGAACGGGUAGAGUCGUUUUGACUAAUGGGUAUUCCUCCUCCACGUACGAAUUCCCUUUGGUUUUUCUGAUGGCUUGCAUUGGGUUUGUCUUUGGCCAUGUACUGGAGUCUCCCAGCAGCCUGAGCGUACAAACAUCUCCUGAUUUUUUAUCGUGGUUUCAUUUUAAACCAUGUGCUGGAGAUUUUUUGGAUAUUUUCUAAGCCACUUGGUCUAUUUGGGCCUUCUUAAGGUGAUGAGUUAGCCCAUUAAGAGAAUGGGCUAAUUUCCUAAAGUUAUGGGCUAUCUUAUUAAGGCGAUGGGCCAAUUUUUCUAGAGUAUUGAGCUAAUUCUUCUCUUUUUUAUGCUUACUCACAUAUUUGAGCUUAAUAAUGGGCUUGAGUUUUUGAGUUCCCAAGCAGCCCAAAACUUCCAUUUCUCGGAUCAUCAAUGGGUCUCAUGAAAACUUGUUACCAUCCAUACCACAACCCACUCAAGCAAGCCUCGGGCAUUUGCGUGGCUUGAGCCCACUUAAGCUUGUAGCUUGGCUAGGUGUGAAAUAAUAAUUUCCUGCUUGGCAUGGCAUGUCGAUUGGCCUGCUUGAAUUUUAUCAUCUUUGAAAAGAGACAUAAUGCUUGACAGAAUAAUUAGCAUGGGCUUGUAGAGCCAGUGCCUUUUAUAGGCUCAUUUUAAUUCGUAGCGUGAUAAAUUGCAUAUUUAUUUGGCAUGGCACAUGGUCAUGGCUCGUGAAAGCGUGAAUGAAGAACUUUUGCGUGCUCCAAAUUGGGUCUUUUCUUAAUAAGGUAUUGCAUUGGGCCGAGAAUUCAUUUGGGCCUAACCCUGGAUUUUUUGGGCCUCAACAGCUAGGUGUUGUUCGCAUUUACCAAGCCAUAGACGCACGAUUGAAAGAAUAUUGAAGUCCUCUUAGUUGAGGCAUAGAAGAGAACUCAUCUGAGCCAGUACCCCCCUUGGAGCACAAUGGCUUGAUUAGAGGUCCAGAACAAGCACAAGUCCAUCAAACAAAACAUUCUACAUCACAUACACUAGUUCUAUUGGGCUGGUCUCAUCACCAAUAGUGGCACGCCUACACAACUUACGAUCGGGCCAGAAGAAGCAAACCAUCAAGGCCUAUCCUGUGCUCACCCGCUUUUCUCAACUUGAUCCAACUUUCAGUUUUGUCUGAAAUUAAACUGGUCCUCUCACGAGCCAGAGAUCCAAUCGGGCCAUUGGUGUUGACCUAGCCUCUUCCUCUCACCUACUCCGUUCCCAAAAAGAAUCGACCUGGAGAAACAAGGAAAAAAGGAACCAACAGUACUCUUGGUAAUGGGGUUAACACAAACAGAAACAUGAUGUUUCACGUUGUGUAUGGAAAUGGAGUAAGAAUGACAAACAUAGGUUGUUUUCAUCAAUGCAUCACCUUGUAAGUGCAGAGAGCUGCAAGGGAUGUUGGGGUUGUUUCUCCCUAAAUUAAUUAUACCAUAAGAUUGGAUGAAGUUGAAUUAGGAUUGAAUAUGGUGAAUAGAGUUAAAUUUGUUUCACAAUUCAAUAUAUCGUUUUUGGUCAUUUUAUAUUACGAUAAAUUAGUUAUUCAAUAAGUAAUUUUAUAGUAGGGUAUAAUUGGUUAAUUUUAUAGUUCGUUUAACACUACCCUUUGUAAUACUAAAAUGAAGAUAAAAUCAUAAAAGGGUAGAGGUAGAGCAAUUAACGGUAGAGAUUAUUAUUUUGAGAUUUUAUUCUCUUCUAUAGCAUAGGGAUCCGGGGUGGCACUUCUCCUCAACAUUCUUAUCCCCCUUUACAUCAUGAAGUAGGCGAAUACAUGAGCUAUUUUUGGGAGGGGGGGUCUCAUCAGUAUAUUGGAUCCAAAUAACACUUAUCGACCCUACUGUGAAGAGGCUUGUGUAGAUAAAAGGGGCCCUCAGCAAAUGACCGAGUUUGGGUAUUCUAACAAGCUCAAAAAUCCUGCCCGGCACAGCUUCCCCGAUGUCACUGAACCGAUCUGUCGAUGACAUUGUUGAUAUAACACCACUAGCUCAAAGAUAUAGAGCCUAUGCCAAUAAGCUGUUGAACAAUCAUAAUUUAUGUUUCUUCCCAUCAAUUCCAUUCGCAAAAGAGGCUACACAUAAAAGAUCCUAAAAUUAUUAUAUCAAGGCAGUCCAGCAUAACCCAAAAGAUAAAUAUAUUUGCAAAUUGUCACAACACAAAUAUUAAGAAACAUGCUAUAAGAAACGUGCUAUAAGAACUGAAAACAAUUUGUACUAAUAAAAUUAACAAUAGCAAAAUCAAAUGCAAACUCUCAGACAAAUCUUUAUCAUGAAAGGUUAUCCUGUGAGGCAUUCACCGUGAUGGAGAUUGAAAAAUGGUCUACCACAAUGCCAGAAACCGAAUUCGUCUAGGGUUUCCUAGCAGCAAAAGUAAUUUAGGAAAAUGCAGAAUGUCCUGCUGGACAUGCAAAAACGCUAUUCUCAUCAGCUAUAAAGGCAAACAAUGCCUACAUGCUGCCAAGUUGCUUCAUAAUGGUAUCUAUGGUCACAAUCUUAACAAAAAGAAUCUCUCUAAAUAAUGCCUACAUGCUGCCAAGUUGCUUCACAAUGAUCUCUAUGGUCACAAUCUCAACAAAAAGAAUCUCUCUUGUGGCUUGCAUACCUUCACCAGGUGAGGAAGUCAUAGCCAGUGCAUGAAAACAGGCAGUGGAAAAAGAAAAGCCAUGGAUGAUAAUUUAGCAAGUGUCCUAAACUCAUUUUCUUUUCAACUUCUUCCUUACAGAGGUUUCUUUAGCAGCAUACAUUUUAAGCUUCUGAAGGAUCCUCCUCUCACUGAUACGAAGCAUCAAAGAAUGGUACAACUUUUUGUCACUUAAGCAACAACACCUGCCCAAUGCUUCUAUAUCAUCUUCUAUUGAAUUUGUGCCAUAAAGGCUGUCCCGCAUAUCUGCAAGGGACAAAAGAGCAUUACAAAGAGAUUUUGUCAGCAACAGGUCCUCACUCAAUAGUCCAGUUUUGUGGCACAAUUUUUCGCUUUUAUCGGAAAAAAUGAUGUCCAUGGGUUUACUGGAACUUCCUGCAGUUGCUAGAGCAAGAUCCAUCUUAUAAUAUGCAUCAUGUGGUAACAACAUUAUGUACAAUAAAACCAACAUCUCAAUUUCAGGUUCUCCAUUAAAUGAAACCUCAAAAUAUUCAGAGUUGUGGGUGACACAUCCAGAGUAAUCCAAUCUUUUCCAGAGGGAUAGCCUUGCUCUACGAUGCUGGCCAGAAAACAAGGAUGAACUCCACUGGAGUAUCAGUUCCAAGUCGAUAUUGACAAUGUCAUACGGAUUAUCUGGCUCUGUAAAUCCAUAUCUGUGAAGCAGUGCAGCAUUACCCAAUGACCCGUAUGUAUUAAAGACCUGAGAAGAGAAGAAAAGGAAAAGAAUAAAAGAAACAAAAAAGUUUACCCAUGGAUUUCAUACUUGUACUGAAAGAAGAUGAACAAGAAAAGCUUAUAUAUAGUACUGAAACAAGAAGAGGAAAGGCAUAGUUCCAGUAAUGGCAUCUUCUCAUAGCUCGAGCCUAUGAUAAAUUGAUAUUUAAAUUUUGCAGCAGAGGCUAGAGACAGGAAAUUCAGUAGUUAUAGCAUGCAUCAGAAAAUAAAAACCGAGAGAGUUACUGGAUUGCUGCCUUUUGUUUUAGUAAUAAUUUUUAUAAAUAAAUAAAAUGAAAUAUGAAAAAAGAGAGUCCAAACCUCAGCUCCCAGUUUGACAUCUUUCACCAUAGUCAUUUCCAAAUCAUCACCAUCACUGUCAUCACCAUCACCAUCACCAUCACCAUAAUCAUCACUGUCACCGUCACCAUAAUCAUCACUGUCAUCAUCAUCACCACCCUCACUAUUGUCACGAUCACCAUUGUCACCCUCACCUCCACUAUCGUCACCCUCACCCUCGUCAACAGUAAUAGAAGCAGACAUAUCAUCAUCAUGAAUGGCACUAAUACUAGUACUAGUAGUAUCAGAUUCAUUGUUUUCUUGGGUGGUGUUGGAUUCACUUUUGUGAGGAGAGGUCAUUAAGUGCACAUCCUCAGCUCCCGUUUUAUGAUUAAACCUAUAUUGAAUUGAUUUGAAUGAAUAACAGCACCCAAAAAACUUAUGAUUAUGGAUUUAGACAAAGUAAAAAAGGACAUUAAAACAAUAAUCUAUCAUCCAUCCAUUUCAGUGAUUGAUAUUGAUAUAAACAAAGAAUCACAACAAGAAGUAAAGAGCAGCAGCAGGGUUUGUAUAAGACUUACAGGUCAGCCAAAGGAACCAUUCCUACUCCGUGGAAUUCAUCAAUCUGAAAAGAGCGAGAAGAUAUCAGCGUCCUUGCCGCCAAGUAGUCUCCGAAUCCGAAGAAGCUCGGGUCGAAUUCAACGGCGGCAGCAUCCAAAGGAUGCAUUUGCAGUAGUAACGUGGGCUCAAUGCUCUCCAUCCACUCCUUCCACAUAACUCCUUUGUCUUCCUUGACCGUUCCCUCCAGCUCUGUCCCUGCCAGCAGCUGCUCAACCUCGUCGGCGCUCCAAACCAAAGGCAACGACUCUUCUUCUUUGUUCAACAACUCAAGGUAUGGGGCCCACCGUGAACGCUCUCCCAAGCUCCUCUCGUACAUCAGCGCCACCGCCAGCCCUGCUAACCCUCCUAAACAAGACUCCUCCUCGCCCUCACCGGCGGCGGCGGCGGAGAUAAUGUCACGUGCGGCGGUGGUUCUUGUGGUGAGGCACGUGAGCUUUGGUAUUCUGGCCACCACGUCCCCUUCCUUGAGGUGGGCUAGGGCGCUCACGCUGAUUCCGAUUUCGACUCCUUCGUCCCUCAAGUCCAGGGCGUCGCUGCAUUCGAUUCCUUCCCGCUUCAUCCACCGCUUGAACGCCCUCACCCGCCUGCUACUCCCCUUUCCCAUUCCCACUUCCACUUCCCGCACAAGAAAUUAACAACUCACAAAACCACAACAGCACUGCCGCUUCUUCCCUUUUCUUUUUUUAAUUUUUUUGAUUUAUAUCGUUUUAUUAGUCUAUAAACUUAGACCCAAUUUGCAUAUAAGUUUCUCAAUUUCUAAAAUCGUUUUCGAUUUGUAUUUGAGUCUCUCAAUUUUUAAAAUCUGGUCAUUUAACUUCAUUUUUGUUAGGACAAAUGGUAUUGCCGUCAAUUUUGUCAACUUUUUCCAUUAAAUGUAGGGGCAAAAUAGUAUUUUUAUAUUAAAACAAAAAAAAAGAUUAAAAAAUCAUAUCUUUAAAAUAACAAUAAUGUUGUAAACAAUUAUAGUGGAGCCCACCUCAUUUGGGAGAUGUUUGCCUAUAAGUAAGGCAUCCCCCCUACUUGUAAUACACACAUCUGAAUGAGAAGAAAAAUCAGUUUCUCCUCCUCUUUCUCUCUCUCAAUUCUCUCCAAACUUCUCCCUUGAUUUAUAACACGUUAUCAGCACGAAUUCGCUCAAACAAUCAGCUGAAUUCUCUGAUGAAAAUCAAACCACACCACAAAACCCAACUUCAUUUCUUCAGCUCUCAUAUAUCUGUCAAGCAAUUUAGCAAACAGUUUGCGAGCAUGUCCAGAGCAACCGUUGAGCUUCAAUCUCACCCAGCAAUUCCAAACCUUUUAUCUAUCAGAAGCAAGUUGCCAAACAGGAAAAACGAAGAACCAAAUUUAAGCGCGCCUCCUCCUCCAUAUCUACAUAUCCUUUAUUAUUUGCCUUUUUCAUUUUGCUCUCAAGUUUUCAACUGAAACAACAACCAGUUUUGAGGGGAAUUCUACCGAAAAAAAAAAAAAAAAAAGUGCAAAGCAGUCUGACCAGGAUCAAAAGCACCAGCCCAGACUCCAAACUGAUGCAACCUGUGGCAAGCGCUCCUUGUGUCAGCCCCUGCCCUUGGCCAGUACGUCCACCAUCGAUGGUAAGAAGAUCGUUGAUGUGCUCGUUGAGCAAGGCAUCGCCCCUGGGAUCAAAGUCGACAAGGGUCUGGUGCCCCUAGCUGGUUCCAACGAUGAGCCAUGGUGUCAAGGUCUUGAUGGUCUUGCCUCUCGCACAGCUGCCUACGACCAAGCAGGGAAUAUGAAAGGAAAAGAUGAGAUGGUGAUUGGAGAAGGUGGCGUUUUAUGGUAUAAUUCUAUAUGCCGACAAUCUGGGUCAAACUGGGGUUUGAUGCUGUCAGCGGCACAGGAUAAUGAGCCAGUAAUCUAGUGAGCUAAUAGAGUUAGAGAGACGGUCCCUCUCUCUCUCUCUCUCUCUCUCUCUGUGAGGACGAUGAAUUGAAUUUUGGGGUCCCAAAAUUCACAAAAAGAAAAAGAUCCUCAAUCUUCCUUCUUACAUUAUCUGUCUUGGCCCCGACUUUGGUUGAAAUCCCUUGCAAGACAGGGAGCAGAGGCUGUCAUCGACAGUGAGGAUGAAGACAAAAAUAAUGGAAGGAAUGAUGACGGCCACAAUGAUAAGAUUCCCACCGACAAAGAAAAGCAAACCCACCGAACGAAAGAAAAACUAAUUAAAUAAAAUAAAAUAAGAUUAAAAAAAAAAAAGGGGAUCACUCAGCAAGGGCAUAAGUGAAAGAAUAAGCGAUAAGUUUUCUGCUCCCUUAUCUUCUCUAUUAUUUCCUAUUAUAUUUAUCUGCUUUUCUUUUACUAACCAUUAACAAAAAUGGACCCUCGGUAAUACUAAACAUAUUAUCAGUGGGAAACCGUUACUAAUCCUAACACUUUACUUUAUGAAAUUUACUUUAUGAAUUUACUUUACCGCACAUUUAUUUUAUUUACUGUAUGGUGUAGGUUUAUUACCCAUACAACAGUAUUUAUUUAAAAGGGUGGUGCGGGUUUAUCGCCCACGCCUUUAAUUUUAUUUAAAUGUAUGGAGCAGAAUUAGUGCCCAUACAAGCACGUUUAAUUUACUGCAAAUUUACUUUACCGCACAUUUAUUUUAUUUACUGUAUGGUGUAGGAUUAUUAACCAUACAACAGUAUUUAUUUAAAAGGGUGGUGCGGGUUUAUCGUCCACGCCUUUGCUUUUAUUUAAAUGUAUGGAGCAGAAUUAGUGCCCAUACAAGCACGUUUACUUUACCGCACAUUUAAUUUAUUUAAGGUAUGGUGCGGGAUUAACGUCCAUACAGCAAGCAAUUUAAUUUAUGAAUUUAAUUUAUUGCACAGUUACAUUUAUUUAAAAGGGUGGUGUGGGUUUAUCGUCCACGCCUUUACUUUUAUUUAAAUGUAUGAUGCGGGUUUAUCGUUCAUACCAGUAAUUUAUUUACCAGCAAUUUAUUUUAUGGAUUAAUUGUGCUAUAUGAUGAGUUUUUACAGUAUGCAGAUCAGGAUCAGAAGUUCCUUGAUCCUCAUCAUACAAUUACAUCAGGACUUGAAGAUCCUUGAUGAUGAUAUUAAUAUGAGAGCUGGCAGUCUCUCCGGUACUGUAUUUGUAAACAUGUGAUCGGACUUAAGGGUCCUUGAUCCCUGACAUGUAAAUAAGGACCUAGAGUUCCUUAAUGAUGUAACAGUACCGUAUUGGUUCAUAGUGCCGUACACAUUGAUGAUAACUGUACUGGCAGAUGAAUAGAUACGUAUUCAUGACUUGAUGAAUAGUACUAUUCACAUGAAUAGUGACGUAUGCAUAAAUAUGAACCAUUUUGGGUAAACCGUCACUAUAUACAAAAGGGAACCUGCAGUUCCUUAAACUCAUGGAUGAACAAUUAAAUGAGAUGCCAGAAGUUCCUCAAAAUAUGGACAAUUAUGUAAGGGCUUGAAGUCCCGAAAUAUGUACAGAAAAUUGUAAAAAUGUCCAUACCAUGAGAAUAUGUGGCUUUGGCCUGAAGUUCAAAAUUUAACAGUGUUGAGAACCUGAAGUUCCAACAAUUAAAUGGACAACCCUUGAGGUAUUAUUGCAAAUUGUGGUAUGCCACAUAUUUCUUUGGCAUAAGAAGAUGAUGAAUUUAAAGUUCGAUUUUGUUAUAAUCGACACCUCAAGGAAGAAAUAUAUUUUGUGAAUUCCGG